CCGACAGGCCGGCCUCUCCUCUAAUCCUCCUUCGCUCUCCAUCUCGCUACUAUCUAGAUCUACUCUAGUUUAGAGAAGAGAGGAGAGCUCUCAUCUCUAAACCCUAGCUUUUGCUCUGUCUAUGAAUAAUGAAUAAUGAUCAAGGGGUGUCUCCUCCAGGGGCCAGGGGGUCUGGUUUUAUAGUCCCCUCAAGUGAACCUGGGUCGUCGGAUCAUACCGACAUUGAUUGAACGGUUAUUCUUGAUCCUUUAGGUCGGUGGAGCAUAAUCCGCGAGAUUGAGCGUGAUUGGCCGAAAAAGGUGGGCGUGCGCCCUAAGGACUUGGGCGGGCGCCCUGUCCCUGACUCCGUUCGGUCUCCGCUUCCUUCUCGUGGCUUCUGGAGUCUUCUAGAUGUAAGAUAAUUGCGCGGCACGUUGAUAUCUCUAUGUAAUCCCGACGUGUGGGCCUUUCUUCCUUAUUUCCUGAUAACCCCCUGCAGAAAUAGACAAACACCAAAACUCGUGGAAUUCUAUCAGAUAAAACCCUAAGUCUUGAAGUUGAUUUCAUUUGGAUCCUUUUCUUUGUUUAUUUGAUAGUUAAAUUUGAUACUUAAGGACCGUCAACAAACUCCCCCAAGCUUACCUCUUGCUCGUCCCUGAGUAAGGAUAGACUCAGCUAUGGAUCAUAAGUUGUUGCAAUAUCUUUAAAAAUUGACGGUACACAUGCUUUUAAAUGAGGUCUCAUCUCUGAUUUAGAGUAAACUGUCAAGACUUAAAACUUACUUACUUUACCUUUCACCAUGGGACUUGUAACCGUCACUUCUGUCUUGAGUGGUUAAAAGAUAGAACAGUCCCGUCAAGUGCCAUGUCUCUUAUUCUUGAUCAGCUAUAGCUCUGGAGUUUUUGUAGAUUUUCAAAUAAAACUCAGAGAUUCCUUUGUAUGACUCUCUCGUAUCUCUCUUUUGUGGUAUUUCUGGAUCCUUACCAAGGCAGUGAUGGUAUAUGCCUUCUCUCAAAAUAUGUGGUAUUUGUGGUAUAAGGCAUAGUGACAUUGCCUUCUCUCUCACCCUACUCUAAUAAGGCUUUAAUAUCUGGAGCUCAUAGGUGGGAGAUAAAGUAUACAUACUUACAAGACAUUUAUUGUAUAGUCAAACCAUGGAUCCAAAGAAACAAAUCAAUAAGCCAAAUCAAGAUGUGCAUGUGUGGCGAAUGAAUGGUGUAUAGUGAUGAUGGUGAUAACAAUGGUGAAAGUCUAAUUCUACUUUUGCUCUUAUGAGGGGAUACAUACCUUCCUUGCUUUUUGAAACUUUAUGAGGAGAAUGAGAUGCUCUUCUUUUUCUUUCCUCUCAGGUGGGUAUCUUGUACCCCUAAUUCUACUGUCGGACACUUGUCCAUUUUUACCUCUCGUCUCACUUUUUCUUUCUUUCGAGGUUCCGGGCACUUGCCCCUUUUUAUUUCCUCGUUUAUUAUUAUUUUUUUUUCUUUUCUUCUCUUUUCUUUUUUUUCAGAGCACUCAUCUCCUGAAAUAAUGUAGCAAGUGGUAGUAACCAAAAUAACUGGAGCAUUUAUUUCACAGGGAAUAACAGGGAUAGGAAAAUGUUUUUGGCUAUUCUCUCCCGGAUUAGGAGUAGAAUGAUUUUGGGUGAAACUGGAGAUGGAAAUGGAUGGAUAUAUGUGGAUGGUACUUCCGGAGUAGAAGUAGCAUAUAUAUGAGUGAACGUGCAAGUGAAUCUUGAUUUAACCACAUGACAAGCUCCUAAGGGUCUACACAGCUUGACCACACUCAAUGCUCAUAAGCAGUAAAUAAUAAAUGUGUGGCUCAAAGUCUAGCAAGCAUGUAUAUAUGGCUGUGGUAGGAAUUCAAACUUUCAUCAUACAGGAACUCAUCAUGCAACAUUUUAAAGAUUUUUCAAAGAUAAAAUUCUCCAGAAUUCUAGCAUCUCUAGGAAUAGAUAAACAGCAGCUCAACCUUCCCAUAUCAUAUCCGUUAACAACUUAGAUUUCAGAUCAAGUUUUCAUCCCACAAGUUUAGAUCUAGAGCAAGCUUUAAAUUAUAACAGUUAUGUCUAAACUUGAGAGAGAACUUCAAAUUUGCAAAUUAGGUAGAGCAACUAUUCAUCAUAUCCAUGCUAGAGUUUUAUUAUUAAGAUUCAUAGGAAACUUUAUUUAUUUAUUUAUUUAGCAAACUAAGAAAAGAGAUAUAUAUAAGCAUAAAAUCUUUAUUUGGUUUUUCAUAGUUUAUGUAUUUUAAUAUUCUAAUAUAAUAUAAGUAUAAAGAUAGGUAGAAAUACUUAGCGAGAUAAAUAGGGGUGCUCUCCCCCAAGCUGAAUUUUGACGUAAUUUCUCUUGAUGUAGCUAGCAGGUGGCAGAGGUGUACUUGAAAGUCAGCAGCAUUCUGACAGCGAUUAGAAUGUCCUCCGUCUGCUAGUCUUCUUGAUUCUUAAAUUCUGUGGAGCUCAAAUAGACAACAAAGCUUGUGGAACUAAUUAAGUGUUAGCAUAAAUAUCUAGCCUUCAUCACGUUGAGCUUCCUCAAUAAAUAUUACUCCCUGUUUUUUAUAUUUUUAUUUUAUAAAGUAGAAAAGAAAUAUUUGUUUUAUUUUUAUGCCACCACAGUGAAGGUACUUAUGGGUUUUAUGCCACUCGUAUACUCACAUGGGGCUUAGUAUUUUUUAACAUUUUUAUUUUCUUUUCAAGAUAGCAUGAUUAACUAAUAAUCUAUUUAAGGAAAGUAAAUAAUUAAAUGGAAAAGGGAAUGCAGAAAGGAUAUAUAUGGAUAACUACCAAUCUUACCUUUUGGCAAGGGUUCAAUGUUUUAAGUCUUCUUGUCAAGACUUCUCAUCGUGUUCAUUCUUCACGUGCGUCAUUUGAUUGAGGUGCGGACCUUGACGUCUGCACCUUUUAAUACGGUGUCACCUAUGUUCUUCGUUUGCCCAGCAGUUCAAAGUGCGGUGUUAGCAGUAUCUUGCUCAGUGUGUUUGUGCUCGUAGUGUACCUGCUCAUAGAGACAAGGCAGAGAUCAAGUGCAUGGGUCCUGUUGGUGGAAAACACCAACAGAACCUAAAGUGUAUUUGUUCUUCUUUAACCCUAAGCAUAGUGAGCAAGACAAAGUUGAUGGAUGAAAAGUUCAUGAGUGUAGCACUUAUAACAUUUGUCAGAUCAGAUCGCUCAACCUUAUGGAAAGAUAAUUUAUCUAUGUAUAUGUCUUUUUCUUUAUAUCUCUCAAUGAUUGAAUGUGUAACAUUUUAGCCCAUAUGAUUAGGAGUGUGGGAUCAUGGAGGUAGUACUAAGAACAAAGAUUAAAGGACUAAACAUGUUGAAUCAGUUGGGUUGGUUAAUCUAGAGUUGUAAAUCAUACACGUUUGUCUCUUUUAUUUAUAUGAACGCCAGAACGAAGGAGAAGCUUAUAAAAGUGAUAGUCAAGUACCUUAAGAUGUUACCUUGCUUGAAGAGUGAUGGUACAGUAUCAUCUUGUGGAAGCUUUCCUUUCUUAGCGGUUGUGCAUCGUGUUUGUGGCACCCUCCAUGGAUCAUCUCUCUAUGAUGAAUGAGCUAUGUCCUUCUUGUGCAAAUUGUUAAACUUCAUGUGUCACUCUCUUCGUCUCUGAUGUGAGUUUAUCUCAGGACUUCCCAAAUCGAUAUUGAAAGUUUUUUCUGCAGGGGUUAGUUCGACAAAAUAUACCAAUAUCUACUCAAGCAGUUUUUUUUAGUUCAAUAACCAAACUAGACUCCAUGUCUAAUCAGAUUAAGGAAGGCUAUUUAACCUAAGCACCAUGCUUAAUUUAAAUGCCAAUGGAAGUAUGGCGAGUACUUCCAAACCAACACUUGCUAGUAAAUAGACAAAGGUAGCAUGACAGCAUUUAUAGAGAUCUACUCAAGUGGAGAUGAAGUAGUGUGAUUAGUAUUUAACAAAUUGAGCAUGUCUCAAAGGUAGGGACAACCAGCAUAGCAACAUGGUAAAGGAUGUUUUUAUGUAAAGUACUCCCCCAAGCUUGAAUUUUGCAAAAUUCAAGUUUGGAUGAAUUUAAUUCAAUGUUGUAUGAUGAUUGGUUGGACAUACCUUGUGCUUGUCAUUCAUCCGAUCUUCUUGCUCCAAUCCUAGAAAGGUUAGUGACAAGAAUACCCGAAGGAAUAUUUUUUUACAAUUAUCCUUAUAUGCUCAAUACACAAGGUAAUGUUGCAAAUAAUUAAAAGCUCAUGUUACGAGCUGAUCAAUGCUUAUUUUAAGACACUAAGCUUGUCCUUGGGAAACCAUCAGUUUAUGUUGGCGACGUGGUUUCCCCUCCGACGCCAACCUAUAUCUAGAUCAACUCAACGAGAUCUACAAUAUUUAUUAUAGACAUAUGCAUCGACAACCGCCCUUUUAAAGUUUUUAUAAAUAGAAAGGAAGAGGGGGUUGGAGAUCUCAAGUGUGGUGAUGUCGGAGAGACCAAUAGAUUGGGAAGAUGUUGCAUAUGAGCAUGGAGUAAACGAAGUGGCUAUGAAAUAAAUUCCAUGCUCAUUAAUGUUAUCUUCGUCUCUAAUCUGAAUGUUCGGAGUUUCUCCUGGAUUGGUCUCACCUAUGUCCUCUUCUGUAGUUGGAUGAAUCUCAUCUUCAAAGGGAGUCAAGAACUCACCAUUUGAAUUUGAGCCAAAGUCAGUACCUAUUAAGGCUUCUUCCUUAUCCAUCCAUUUUACACAUUCUAGCCAUUUAGAACUUGUGAUCAAAAUAGGGGAGGUGUUAGAAUUUUCUAUAUGGCUUAGCUCUCCUUCUAUGGCAUUACUUGACAUGCCAUCCUUAUGGUCUUCAUGACUCCUAUGGUUUGGUCGUCUUGGUGAAUUGCUAGGAUCAUCAUGAGACUGAAAAGAAGAGGGAUAAGAGGGAUCUCUAAGGUCAAGGAUGGAUUUAGAACUUGUGAACAUGGAAGGGGAGUAGAUAGAAUUGUCUAUAUGGCUUAGCUCUCCUUCACUUGAUAUGUCAUCCUCGACUUCUUCAUGAUAGGAACCAGGACAUUCUCUAAGAGAAACAUUAUUGCAAUGAUUUGAAUUAUCCCUGCUUGAAGGUCUCUUAUAGAACCAGAAGUCUAAACCAUCAGCAUCUAAAAGAUUUAAGGUCGGAAUUCCUUCCUCCCUUGGAGAAUUUUGGGGUAUUGAUGGUUUAGGAUCGAUAGCUAAAGUUUGGGAUUGAAGUGGUUGUGAUCUGGCUAUCGAAACUUCUUCUUCUUGUCUAGGAACUGGUUCUGUCUCUUUCUCAGGGAUAUAAAAGUUAGGAGACUUUCCGCUCAUUAAAUCAAUCAAAUUCCAAGCUUCACUAGCGGAUAGGUGGUGGAAAGAUCCUCCAGAGGCCGCAUGAAGGGUUUGCUUAUUUUCCCUACUAAGGCCCUCAAAAAAGUGAAUUAGAAGAACUUCUUCUGGAAUAGAAAGCUUUGGGCCAGUGAGAGUAAGGUUAAUAAAGCGGUCCCAUGAUUUGCCAAGAGAUUCUUCUUCCAGUUGUCUAAAAGAAAGAAUCUCACGCCGAAGUUCCACCACUUUGGAGAUUGGAAAAUAUUUAGAAAGAAAACUACUAUAUAACUCCUUCCAAUCUCCAUGAACACUCCCUACUUUGAGUUUAUACCAAUGUCUAGCUUUUCCCGUUAAAGAGAACGGAAAGAGCUUCCAUUUAAGGGUCUCAUCGGACAUGCCUUCUAUGCGAAGGAGGUCACAGACUCGAUAAAACUCUCUUAGGUGUGUGUAUGGGUUUUCCUCACCUUCUCCUGAGAAAGGUUGUUUUUGAAUAAAUUCUAUGUAUUCGGGGUCUAUCUCAAAACUAGAUGCUAUGAUAGGCUUUGAAGAUUUUGGUGGUUCGAGAUGUGUGCCCAUAGGUCUUUGAAAUUCAUAGAUAGACAUGUUUGAAUUCAUAAUAGACCAGAGAUCAAGGAUUAGAUAAGAAGAAAGAAUAGUAGAGAUGAGGCAAAGGAUAAAAGGAAAUUUUUUUUUUUGUUAUAUAUUUUUUUUUUAUAAAAUGAUUAAACUAGUUCGUAGUCAACUCAGCAACCGUUUCCCCGGCAACGGCGCCAAAAAUGCUUGUUGACACUUGCUAACACCACUUGAAUACUAGGUUGUCAUCCCCAGCAUGGCACUAGAGUGUACUAUGGUAUUUAUAUGCACACAGAUAAUCCGCAAGCGCACGGAUACCGUUGAAGCUUUUACACGGUUAAAGGUUUUAUCGUAUCCACAGGGAAACGGAAGAACCAACUAUGCUCUAACUUAACCAAGAUAGAUAGAUAGGUGUAAAUAGGAAAGAUGAUAGAAUCGAAUAAGAACAAUAUUAAAGGUAAGAUAACAGUGAGUGAUAAUAUGGGAAUAGAGAAUAGAGCAAUUCUAGUAUAUGGGCGAUGGUAGCAGAAUAGAGAGGAUAACUAUGGUUUCUCUACUUCAAAGGGGUAUGUCUAUGUCUGGGACGAACCACGUGAUAAGAGUACACCACAAAGGAUGCUUAUCCUUAGGCCGAUAAACCCUACCCGUCCUGCUAACGAGAGGUGGACUACAGGGGACCAACGUAACUGUCACCUACGCGGCCUACCACACGAUCCAGCUAGUCAGGGAAUAUCCACAAGUAAUCUAGGUCUAAGCACCACGCUUACACCUAUACUACAACUCUAACCUAUAGGGUCCUAUAGAUUAGAAGUACUCAAAAGAGUUGUGAACCAGAACAUACAUGAUUAGUAAUUGCAUAAUGAAUUAGAAGUAGAUUACUAGAGUCAUCCCAUGAGCAAGCUUGAUUAGAGCUUGAUCAUGGCGAAGUACAACCGGAGGAAGAACCGACAGGCCGGCCUCUCCUCUAAUCCUCCUUCGCUCUCCGUCUCGCUACUAUCUAGAUCUACUCUAGUUUAGAGAAGAGAGGAGAGCUCUCAUCUCUAAACCCUAGCUUUUGCUCUGUCUAUGAAUAAUGAAUAAUGAUCAAGGGGUGUCUCCUCCAGGGGCCAGGGGGUCUGGUUUUAUAGUCCCCUCAAGUGAACCUGGGCCGUCGGAUCAAACCGACAUUGAUUGAACGGUUAUUCUUGAUCCUUUAGGUCGGUGGAGCAUAAUCCGCGAGAUUGAGCGUGAUUGGCCGAAAAAGGUGGGCGGGCGCCCUAAGGACUUGGGCGGGCGCCCUGUCCCUGACUCCGUUCGGUCUCCGCUUCCUUCUCGUGGCUUCUGGAGUCUUCUAGAUGUAAGAUAAUUGCGCGGCACGUUGAUAUCUCUAUGUAAUCCCGACGUGUGGGCCUUUCUUCCUUAUUUCCUGAUAACCCCCUGCAGAAAUAGACAAACACCAAAACUCGUGGAAUUCUGUCAGAUAAAACCCUAAGUCUUGAUGUUGAUUUCAUUUGGAUCCUUUUCUUUGUUUAUUUGAUAGUUAAAUUUGAUACUUAAGGACCGUCAACAAGCGCGUUUCUAGAUGCAAAACGUUUUAGGAAAAUAUAUGUGUGACCCAAAAACGUCAGAUUAAAGAGGUCGGGCUCUAAUUCUCCAUGGGAAGGUAAAAAUGGAUUACGUCAAUUACUUCUAAUUCUUUAUUGGGCUCUAAAAAUAAUUUAAGACGUUGACCAUUUACCUUGAAUAACGUACCUUCGUCAUUUUGAAGUGUGAUAGCUCCAUGGGAUGAUGAAUGAUUACCUUGAAUGGUCCUUCCCAUUUACUCUGGAGUUUUCCAUGCCCGAAAAGCUUCACCGUAGAAUUAGAAAGUAAUACCUUAUCUCCGGGUGCGAACUCCUUCUUCUUGAUUCUCUUGUCAUGCCACCUUUUGACUCUUUCUUUGUAGAUCUUCGAGUUGUGAUAUGCUUUCUCUCGCCAUUCUUCCAAUUCUGAUAGUUGCAUUCUUCUAUGAUCUCUAGCGACAUCUAGGUCCACAUUUCAUCUCCUUAUGGCCCAGUGCGCUUUGAACUCUAGUUCAACAGGUAGGUGGCAAGUCUUCCCGUACACCAAUUGGUAUGGGGACAUUCCAAUUGGGGUCUUGUAUGCUGUCCGGUAUGCCCAGAGUGCAUCGGGUAACUUGUCUUUCCAUGCCGUUCCCAUUUCAUUCACUGUCUUCUGAAGAAUAUUCUUGAUUUGUUUGUUGGAAGUCUCUGCUUGGCCACUUGUCUGAGGAUGGUAGGGGGUAGCGACGUUGUGACGGAUUCCGUGUUUUGAUAGAUAUUGCUUGAAGCGCUUGUCGAUGAAGUGUGCUCCUCCUUCACUUAUCACUACUCUGGGAACUCCAAAUCUUGGAAAUAUAAUUUCUUCAAACAUCCUCUUUGAACUGAUGUUUUCGGCAUGCUUGCAAGGUAAUGCCUCUACCCACUUGGAGACGUAGUCAACUGCCACCAAGAUGUACUCACACUUCUUUGAUGGGGGAAAUGGACCCAUAUAGUCUAUUCCCCAGAAAUCAAAGAGCUCAACCUGAAGGUUGUUGGUGAGUGGCAUGGCAUCCCUUGUGUUUAUGUUUCCGUGCCUUUGACAUGGCCCACAUCUUCUAAUAUAUUGCUUCGUGUCUUCAUACAUUGUAGGCCAGUAGAAUCCACACUGCCAGAUCUUUGAAUGUGUAUGGAAUGCUCCAUAGUGACCUCCAUAUGGUGAUGAAUGGCAUCUGUCGAUGAUCUUCCAUCCUUCCUCAGUGGUCACACAUCUCCUGAGUAAGCCAUCAGAGCAUACUCGGAAGAGGUAUGGCUCAUCCCAUAUAUGUGAACGACUUUCUUGAAUAAGCUUCUUCUUGUUUGCUCCUGGUGGUACAUACCCUGAAACCAUAAAAUUAACAAUAUCUGCAUACCAGGGGUCAGACCUAUUAAUCUCAUAGAGCAUGUUAUCCCGGAGUGAAUCAUUGAUGGGGGUUUCCUGUGGACUCUUAAAAUACAUUCUAGACAAGUGAUUAGCAAUAGAAUUUUCUACUCCCUUUUUAUCUUUUAUUUCUAAGUCAAAUUCUUGGACUAAUAAGAUCCAUCUAAUUAGGCGAGGUUUAGCAUCUUUUUUAGUGAGCAAGUAUUUUAGUGCAGCAUGAUCAGUGUAAACAAUUAUUUUAGGUCCAACUAAAUAAGAUCUAAAUUUAUCAAUGACAAAGACAACAGCCAGAAGCUCUUUUUCAGUGGUUGCAUAAUUAAGUUGAGCUCCUGUCAAAGUUUUACUAGCAUAAGCAAUUGCAUGAUGCUUCUUAUUUUUAGUUUGUCCCAAAACUGCCCCCACAGCAAAAUCACUAGCAUCACACAUAAUUUCAAAAGGCAACGACCAAUCAGGGGGUUGAAUGAUUGGUGCAUAGAUGAGUGCUUUCUUUAAUAAAUUCAAAGAUGUUAGACAUGCAUCAUCAAAUUUGAAAGGAGCAUCCUUGGCUAGCAAAAGAGUAAGGGGUCUAGCAAUAAAUGAAAAAUCUUUUAUGAAUCUACGAUAAAAACUAGCAUGGCCAAGAAAGCUUCGAAUUCCUUUUAUAUUCACAGGUGGAGGUAGUUGUUCAAUUACUUCAAUUUUAGCUUUGUCUACCUCAAUACCUCUUUCAGACACUAGGUGUCCCAGCACUAUUCCUUCCCUAACCAUAAAAUGACAUUUUUCCCAAUUAAGGACUAAGUGCUUUUCUUCACAUCUAUGCAAAACCUUGUCUAAGUUUUCAAGACAAUUAUCAAAAGUUUUUCCAUAAACAGAGAAAUCAUCCAUGAAAACUUCCAUAAUCUCUUCUAUCAUAUUAGAAAAUAUAGACAUCAUGCAUCUUUGAAAAGAAGCUGGUGCAUUACAUAACCCAAAAGACAUUAUACGGAAGUAAAAGUUCCAUAUGGGCAUGUAAAAGUGGUUUUGCUUUGAUCAUCGGGAUGGAUCGGGAUCUGGUGAUACCCGGAAUAUCCAUCUAAGAAACAGAAGAACGAAUGGAUCGCUAAUCGCUCUAGCAUCUCAUCUAUGAAAGGUAAAGGAAAAUGAUCCUUUCUUGUGGCUUUGUUCAGUUUUCUAUAGUCUAUGCACAUCCGCCAUCUUGUGACGGUGCGUUGCGGAAUUAGCUCGUUCUUUUCAUUCAUAAUGACAGUCAUGCCUCCCUUUUUAGGCACAACUUGUACUGGGCUUACCCACUCACUGUGCGGCACAGGAUAUAUAAUCCCUGUAUGCAGCAACUUUAUAACUUCCUUUUUAACUACCUCUCUCAUCGUGUUGUUAUGUCUACGUUGGGGCUCUCGAGAAGGUGAAACAGAAGGAUCUGUUGGGAUUCGAUGGGUACAAAUCAUAGGACUGAUUCCUGUAAGAUCUUGAAGUGAGUAGCCAAAAACUAAGUGAUGUUUCUCAAGAAUGGUCAUUAAUCGCAGAGUUUGCUCCUGAGUGAGUUUAUCACUAAUGAUCACAGGAAACUCUAGAUUAUUGUUUAGGAAAGCAUAGAUAAGACCGGGUGGUAAAGUUUUAAGCUCUAUGGGAGGUCUAGGUGCUUCUGCAAACUCAUCUAAGGGUUUAGGUUCAAAAGGUUUAGCUUCUUCUUCUGUGAAGAAAAGAGUUUCGUCUUCUAAGUCUGGUUCAUCUAAAAGCUCUGGAGAUGCAGCCUUUACCUCCUCCAUAGGAUCAGGCAAAAGAUAUGAUUCGGCCUUAUUGUUUAAGGAGUGUGAAAUCGUUAUGGGAAAUUUAAAAGUUUUUCCAAAAGAAAUGUGUAGCUUUCCAGUAUGACCUUCAUAAAGGAGUCUUCUAAAAGGUUGUCCUAUCAACAGGUCGAAGUCCCAUGUAUCAAAGAUAUAGAAGUUCAAAUGUACGAUGGAGCCUUCUACCGUAAGAGGUAGGACAUUAAUAAUUCCAAGACUGGGGACUAAUCGUCCCGAAGAUUCCACUAUGACCUUUGUUGUGGGGGUUAAGACAAGAUUUUUAAAUAAUUUAAGUGCAAAAGAUUCAGACAUGAUGUUGAUCCCCACAACAGGAUGAUAGAGAGCAUCAAAUCGAUCAGAAUCAUAAGCACAGUGUAUAGUUAUAGAGGGUGUAUCCAAAAGAAUCACAUCAGAGGAAAGCUCUGACUCCUCCAACCACUCGCUACUCAUGACUGAGAUAAGCUCUCUUAAUUGAUGUUCACUUGGUAAACAAAUGCUAAACUGACCGUUUUGGGGUUUGUUAGUAGAAUGGUAGUUUGAAAUGUUUCCAAAAUCGGCAAAAAGAUCAGAUUCUAUAUCCAGCAUGAAAUCAGGUGGUGGAAUUUCUUCCUUUUGUGGCUCAGAACUUGGGAUAGCUAAAGUAGAUGAAGAAUUUGGCAGAGUGUCUACUUCGGCUUCGUGGGUUUCAUCAUGAAGGGUAUUAUCCAUCUCAGCUUCUAGGAUUCUAUCUAGGAUCACUCUAGCAUCAUCAGUAGGGAUGCGAAAGAAAGAACCUCUAGACAUUGUAUGUAGCAUUUGUUUAUUAUCUUUCUGAAGACCUUGAAAAAAGUGAAAUAAAAGAACAGGGUCUUCUAGAUUAAGGUUUGGACCAGAUUCUAAAAGAUCAGAAAAACGUUUCCAGGAUUUUCCCAAAGUUUCAUUAUCUUUUUGUUUAAAAGAUAGGACUUCGAGUCGAAGGUCGCCGAUACGGUCGAGGGAAUAAAAAUCUAGACAAAAUUUGGCUCGUAAAACUCCCCAUUCACCUCGUUGUUGACUUACCUUCUGACUGUACCAUUGUCUAGCUUCUCCCCUUAAAGAAAAAGGAAAAAGCUUCCAACGUAAAGUUUUAUUAGAAAUGCCUUCAAUGCGAAGACAAUCACAUGUUUGCUCAAAAUCUCUAAUAUGAAGGUAAGGGUUUUCGUCUUCCUUUCCCGAAAAAGAUAGGUUUUGAAUCAUGGCAAUCAACCUAGAACUUAACCUAUACUGGGAUGUUUGGAUAGGCUGUGAUGACUCCCAUGGUAAAAGGUCAGUUACUAAAGGGACUGCAGAUUCAUGGAUCGAUUUAGAAUUUUGGUUUUCCAUAAGAUGAGAGUAAAGAGAAUAAAUAAAGAAUAUAAAGGAUAAGAAAAGGUAAAAGUAUAGAUACAAGCUAGUAGUAAGACUCAAGGUUAUCUCAGCAAACCGUCUUUCUCCCCGGCAACGGCACCAGAAAUGCUUGUUGAUAUUUGGGAACGCAAUAAUGAAUUGAUCCGCAAGCGCACGGAUAUCGGUGAGCACUUCACCCGGGAUGCUAUCCAGAGUAUCGUAUUUUUUUUACCACUAGGAGAAAGAGUGCAUCAGACUAACCCGGUCUAUUACUACUAACCUUUAGGCUACAAAGAAUGUUUCUCGAUGUGAGUGAUAUAUAGAGAAGACUACAACCGUAAUCUCUUUCUAACCUUGGUAAGGAUAAUCUAAUGUUCUAUUAGGGAAGCUUACGGAAUCUAGACACCACAGAGGAUGUUCAACCCGCACCUAUAAACCCUAUCUUUCCUGCUAACGAGAUAUGGUCUGCAAAGGUAACUCAGAAAUGUCACGUUCCUCGCUACUACCACGGUCUAGCUAGUCAGGGAAUAUCUAUGAGUAUCCUAGCCCAAACACCACAUCUACGCUAGAGAUGAUUACUCUAAACUCUACGCGAAGAGAUUAAAGUAAAAUCAUAAACCAAAGAACAAUAAAACAAGAACUUACUAGAAUUUAGAAGUCGAAAUACUGAAGAAUCCUAGGAGCAAGCCUCGGGUUAGAAGACUUGAUCCCGCAGGUACAACCUCAGAGUAGACACCGACAGGCCGGGCUUCCUCCGAUCUACACCUGCACUCUAUCUCCCUCGAUCUAGUAGAAACUAGAAGAUCUAUUUCUACUCACAUUGGAUGCUAAGCCUAAAAGAAAUUUUAUUUAGGGGAGAGGUAUUCCUUCGAGGGCUCCUCUCAACUCUAUGAUGAACUUGUCUCCUCCAGGGGUCAGGGGUUCUGGUUUUAUAGUCCCCUCAAGUGAACGUGAGCCAUUGGAUCAAACCGACAUUGAUUGGACAGUUAUCCUUGAUCCUUUCGGUCGGUGGAGCAUCGUCCGCGAAGAGAGUCCCGAUUGGAGUCCAGGAGGGGGCGGGCACCCUGGUCCUCAGGGCGGGCUCCCUGGGCCAGGCCCCUUUUGGCCUUCGCUUUGUUCCCGUGGCUUCUGGAGUCUUCUAGAUGGUAGAAAAUUGCGCGGUGCGUUGAUAUCUCUAUGUAAUCCCGACGUGUGGGCCUUUUUUCCUUAUUUCCUGAUAACCCCCUGCAGAAAUAGAUAAACAACAAAACUCGUGGAAUUCUGUCAGAUCAAACCCUAAUUCUAGGUGUUGUUUGCAUAUUGGUCCUUUCUCUUGUUUAUUUAACAAUUAAAAUUGAUACUUAAGAACCGUCAACAUGCAUCAUCAAGAUUUAAAAUAAAUAACCCAUUCACAAUGGAUGCAAGAGCCACACAUAUGUCAUUCUUAGAGAUCACACAACCAUUAUCUUUACUCGCAAAUGAAUAACCAUCCUUCAUCAAACAUGAAGGUGACACAAUGUUUCGACUUAAACUAGGAUCAAAAUAACAAUUAUUCAAUUCCAAACUAAAUCCUAAUGGUAGGUGGAGUUGCAUUGUUGCCCAUGUUUCUUAUCAUUCCCUGCAUCGUAUUGCAAAUAUGAGCAACCAAUGUGGUAUUAAAUACCAAGAAUUAAUAUAAGAGUUAGCGAGGUCAAUAUCUAUAACAUAAACAACAAGUGUAUGAGCAACAGGAGUACCUUUACUACCGCCAUCCUUAUUCAAGGAUGCCAAGGACAGCUUGCAGUUCCUCUUUCACUAACCUUUCCCUUAUAAUGAAAGCACUCAGCAUCAGUAGUUGGUCCAGCCUUGGGCAUUGGUGGGUUUGGCUUAUGGAUCUCAUCCUUAGCCUUACCCUUUUUCAUCUUCCAUGCAUUGUCGUUCUAUCUCUUAAAGUUAAGCUUGUUUUGGAUUGCCAACAUUUGGCUACUACCUUCACCUUUCUUGAUGUUAGCCUCUGCUAUUUUUGGCAUGCCGCACAAAUCAUUCAAGACCUUCUCCACCCCAUGCAUAUGGUAGUUUGAGAUGAAAUUUCCAUAAGUGGGUGAAACAGAUGAGAGAAUGAAAUCAGUAUCCAACUAGUUGCAGCCUAUUGGGAAGCCUAGCAUCUCUAACCUCUGAGUAUAACUAACCAUCUUGAUUACAUGUGGGCAAACUGUUGUGCCCUCUACUAGCUUGCAUUCAACAAAAGCCUUUGAGACUUGGAACCUUUCAGUCCUAGCCUUAGCUUGGAACAUAUCAUUAAGCACUGUAACACCCAAAAAUUUACAACUUUUGAAAUAGGUGAAAAAUGAUUUAAUUUUGUAUUUUUGUGCUCAUGAAAUAUAGGGAAAUAAUAUUUUUCAUUAAAAUAAAAUUUAUCAUUGGACUUAGCAACUUGUUCGCGCAUUCAUGUUUGUGCAUUCUUUAUAUUGUGUUGUGGGGUUUUGACUAAAAAUUCAAAACUAUUUGAUUUGGAUUUGAAAAUGGUUUCUAAGUAAAAAAAUUCUUUUAAACUCUCGAUUGAAGCAGCAGGCCCCUAGUUGCGGCCACUCGGCCCAGCCAAGCAGGCCACCGAGCCGCCCUCUUCUCACGUCUGUGUUUCCCCCACGAGUCGUCUCCAUGUAGGUCUCUCUGCUCGAUGGAAAAUCGCCAUCCAACACCAAUUUUAGUGGAAUUCGACGUAAUCUCCACACUCGCACGCCUUAUAUAAAGAAGAGGAACCUGAUGGCGCUCUUUUUCCCAUAUGCGUGCUGCCACCGUUUUUGCCCUAACUUGGUCUCACCGAGCUCAGACCUGCAACCACCGCAACCGUGCCUAUCAUCUGCUGCGUCGCUGCCCAUCUCCAAGCGGCUGAUGAGCUUCACGUCAAGGAAAGGCCCCAUUGCCGCUCCGUCAAGCUGUACGCGAUCAAUCUGCUAAAACUUAGUGUGCUUGUCGUUGUCUUGAAAGGCAUGCAUGAUCAUCUAGGGUUCCAUUGCUGUAAUUAGUUGCUUUAUAAAAAUGUGUUUCUAAAUUCUAUGUUUGUUUAGUUUAAACACACAUAUCAAAUUUGAAUAUAUGCUCUCACAUAUUUAUUCCUUUUUCAAAGUCAAGUUUAAAUAACAAAUAUUAUGAGAUGUGCUUGCAAAUAAAAUAUGACUAGUAGCUUUAACUCUAUUUUUUAGCUAAGAUAUACAUUGUCUAAAUUAAUAUCCAUCACAUGGUUUUAUAAAUAAAAUAAACCGAGCUUAUAGCCUUUGUUUCUAUGAUGAAGUAAAUCUUCGCUAGUCGUUUCUUAUUCACCGUAUCUGUGAUUAGUGUGUUUUUCGUGUCUGCGUGAUGGUAGCUGCACGUAUAUUUGUUUUUAAACCUUUUUAUUGAUUGGUGUAUUAUUCUAAAUUUAUUAUGUUUGCUAUGCAUGUUUGUUUGGAUGCUUGUGUGGUAUAGAUCCUGUCUAAUCGGCGAGUUUUAUGUGGUGAUCAAGAAGGACCGGAGUGGGUAAUAGUGAGUAAGCAAUUCAUUUAAGAUUUGGACUAGCAGAGUCAGCAAGGGUAGUAUGAAAGCUUUUAUCAAGGCAAGUAUAGCAUUUGGAUUUUAAUUCUGUGACCAUGAUCUUGUGACUUGAUUAAUGUUUAAGCAACAAAUAAUAUAGAUGACUUCUUAGCAUCUUCAAGAUUUAUCUAUAAGUGAUAACUGGGAUUGAAGUGCAACCAUGAAGGCUAUAAUGGCUCUAGAUUUAGUCAAGUAUGAGUAACGUUUCUAGCACGUUAGCGGUUACCCGUGUGGUGCAAUUGGGGGAUAGCAGACCAUGGAUCCCUGCAUGGUAGAAUCACACGGACUGACUAAUGAAACCAAGCGGCCCUAACCUAUUAGAAGAACCUUUGAAAGACUUCAUAGUGAUCUCUGCCGACCUCCCUAGGAAGGGGGUUAAGAGAUUAGCUACCUCGGGCGAAAGGGUAAAUCAUGACUCAUGGGUAAAGAUAUACGACCUCUGCAAAGUGUUUAUUAAACUGGUAUACUAGCCGUGCUCACAGUCACGAGCGGCCUUCGAGAUUCUUGCAUUAACGGUGAUGAUUCUUGUUGUCUUAAUAUGCUUAUAUUUAUUGUUUAAUGCUCUACAUUAUUCUAUCACAUUGAUCAUGAGAUUGUGGGAUCAAAACAAUCUAGUUGCUAUACUGGUGGAGUUCGACACAGACUCACUCUUGCUAUUUCCCUCACACCUCAGGUGGAGUAUUAGGCUUAUGAUCAACCAGUCAUUUGGAUCCUGUAGAGUGGAGUUAAUACCCGAAGUUGGAGUUAUCUUCCGUUAUAUGCUACCUAAGGUUAUUCUGAUUUAAUAUGUACGUUAUAUAAUUGGUGCAUUGUCUUUUGAUAUUACCCUUUAUUUAUAGCUAUAUGUGAGAUUUGACUUCUAAAACUCAUGUAUGGUGCUUAAAAUUGGGUAUUACAAGCACUAUGCUUAUAUCAUACGCUGCACGAUUAUUUUUGAACUGCAUCUGCAGCUCUUGUUCCAUACAAGCAAGCACAAGGCAACUCACUCCAAGAUCAGCAUCGCAUGCUCUCCUGUAAGCGUUCUUCUCUAUAGUAGAUGUAUUAUCAGCAGGUGCUUCUAGAAAUGGGAUGUCUAGAAUCUCUCCCUUUCUCUCUACCCUAAGAACAAUUCUCAGAUUGUGGAUCCAAUCCACAUAGUUUGUAAAGUAAAUUUUUCUCAAGAAUUGAGUGUAAAGUAAAUGUCUAGAAUCUCUUCCAUUCAACUUAUCUUUCUCAAGAAUUGAGCAUAAAGUAAAUGUUUGAUUGGUAGGCACCAUUAAUCUACAACAAAAGUAAUGCAAAAUACGAAACAAAGUAUCCAAGUGUUGAUAUUAGUUACGCACAAGAAAGAAUCAAAGACAAAUAUUCCAGAAGCGCAUGGAUAUAAGUCUAGAGUAUCGUAUUUAUUUUUUUACCACUAGGAGAAAGUGUUGAUAUUUGGGAACGCAAUAAGGAAUUGAUCCGCAAGCGCAUGGAUAUCGGUGAGCACUUCACCCGGGAGGUAAUCCAGAGUAUCGUAUUUAUUUUUUUACCACUAGGAGAAAGAGUGCAUCUGACUAACCGGUCUAUUACUACUAACCUUUAGGCACAAAGAAUGUCUUUCGAUGUGAGUGAUAAAUAGAGAAGACUGCAACCGUAGUCUCCUUCUAACCUUGGUAAGGAUGAUCUACUGUUCUAAUGGGGAGGCUAACGGAAUCUAGACACCACAAAGGAUGUUCAACCCGCACCUAUAAACCCUAUCCUUCCUGCUAAUGAGAUGUGAUCUGCAAAGGUAACUCGGAGUUGUCACGUUCCUCACUACUACCACGGUCCAGCUAGUCAGGGAAUAUCUAUGAGUACCCCAGCCUAAACACCACGUUUACGCCAGCAAUGAUUACUCUAAACUCUACGCGAAGAGAUUAAAGUAAACUCAUAAACCAUAAGAACAAUAAAACAAGAACUUACUAGAAUUUAGAAGUCAAAUUACUGAAGAAUCCUAGGAGCAAGCUUCGGGUUAGGAGAACUUGGUCCCGCAGGUACAAGCUUGGAGUAGACACCGACAGGCCGGGCUUUCUCCAAUCUACACCUCCACUCUAUCUCUCUCAAUCUAGUAGAAACUAGAAGAUCUAUUUCUACCUUACAUUGAUUGCUAAGCCUAAAAAGAAAUAUUAAUUAGAGAAGAGGUUUUCCUUCGAGGGCACCCCUCAGUCUCUAUGAUAAUUUCUUCAUGUCUUCUCCAAGGGCCAGGGGGGUCUCCUUAUAUAGUCCUCCCCUUCUAUGCGUUUUUGGGUCGAUAGGCGAGGUGGUACUAUGUUUUUCUUGAUCCAAUGGUCGGUGGAAUAUCCCGAGCGAACAGAGUCAUGAUUGGCAUCCAGAGGGGGGCGGGCGCCCAGGUCACCAGGGCGGGCGCCCUGGGCCUGGCCCCUUUCGGCCUCCGUCUUCUUCCCGUGGCUUCUGGAGUCUUCUAGAUGGUAGAAAAUUGCGCGGUGCGUUGAUAUCUCUAUGUAAUCCUGACAUGUGGGCCUUUCUUCCUUAUUUCCUGAUAACCCCCUAUAGAAAUAGAUAAACAACAAAACUCGUGGAAUUCUGUCAGAUCAAACCCUAAUUCUAGGUGUUGUUUGCAUAUUGGUCCUUUCUCUUGUUUAUUUGAUAAUUAAAAUUGAUACUUAAGAACCGUCAACAAAUACCCCCAUACUUAGGCUUUUACUCGUCCUCGAGAAAAGGAUGGUUAAGAAUAAUAUCUGGGGUAAACAUUUAAAACAUUCUCUUAGGUAUACUUACUUUCGAGAAAAGGAUGGUUAAGAAUAAUAUCUGGGGUAAACAUUUAAAACAUUCUCUUAGGUCCUUUCUCCUGUCACUUGGAGUUUUUGUAUAUUUUUGAAAGAAAGUUAGCAUACCUUUUGAUCCUCAUAGGUUCUCUUAGAUCACUCAUUAUCUUUUAUAUAUAUCUCACUGAGGCUGUAUUUUUGCAAAAAUUCUCAAGCAUACUUACUUUGCAUUUAUUGCUUGAUCAAAACGGGAUCCGAGGAGGGAAAUGUCAUACUCUUAGAUCAAAGACUUUGGAAAUUAAAAUCUUUGUCAACUCUUGCUGGCAUAUUGCUUAUUAGAGGGACCAUGGGCUAUCAUAUUUUUUUCUCUUUUCUCUCUCUCUUUUUUAAGUGGAUACCGAGGUACCCCUAAUUCUACUGCCGGACACUUGUCCAUUUUUUUCUGUGAGGUUGUCGAGCACUUGCUCCUUUUUAUUUCCUCGAAAUAUUUUUAUUUUUGCAUAGCCCAUGCCUCUAACGCAAUAAUACUUCGGAAGAGUGAAUCUUUCUGAAAUAAUGUUUUGAUCUUAGGAGCAUGAUAAAUCUCUCAACAAGGGUCUAACUCAUUUUGAACAAACUCAAUACAGAGUAGAUAGCUUUUAUAAUCAUAAUCAAUAUUUUCAGUUUUAUCUGGCAUAUAAAACACUUUGGAUGGUAGCUAGAAUUUUGAAUAUUUUGAAAUAAAUUCUCCAAGUAACAAUGAUAUCAAGAAUAAGAAACUCAUACUCUAUAUUCCAUAUUGACUUAAGUGACACAGGGUUUUAAAAUGAUUUUCAAUAAUUGCAAGUUUUUCAGGAAAUAUCACAGAUUGAGAUUAAUCAUGAUUAGAAAUAUUUUAAUCUUUUUAUUUUAUCAUAUCGGAAACAAUAAUCUGCAUAAUCCAAAAUAUAUGUAUGUGUAAAGUAAAGUGUGCAGAGUGUGUACCUGAAUCGUGGAGUGGUGUAGUCGGAGUGUGGUUGGCAUGUUGAGGGAUCUCCCCCAUACUUGUUUUCUGCUUUCUUGCACAAAAAUAAAGUAGAGACACACAAGACAUAAUAAUAAUAAUAGUAAUACUCUUUAUUAAUCUUGAGGCAUUUAUUACAAAAGACUAGUAGCAAACUGAUAACAAACUGAUGAUAAUAGCAAACUGAUGAUAACUGCAAACCUAAACCGAAUUUAAAGAUAGAUAACUAAGAUGCAUUGCCUCAAGGUCUAAUCUAGAUAACUUAGCGGCGCUCUAAUUCCUUGAUCUUCUUGUUGGCACUGGCAAGAUCCUGCCUAAGGCCUAGUAUAAUGGUGUUGUGGUUAGAGAGCUGCCUAGUGAGGUAAUUAAUCGAGCACUGGAGAUCUAUGAUAACUCUGUCUAGCCUGCGAACGUCCUCAUCAAUAUCGACUAUAGUCUUGCGACGCUUGGGAGGUGUCUCAAAAGCAUUGAGAGCGUGCUUCGGGGCUGCCUUUGGAGGGAUGAAAUAGACUUUGGCUGCUCUAAUCCCUUCGAAGUAAGGCCUUUCCUCCUCCGUAGUGUAGCGUACGCUGCUGAUCUCGUCGCUCCGGUUGGUCUUGACUCCAACGACCCUCUCAUUGGGUCUAGGUGGAAGGAUCCUUGUGCCGAUUGGCACCUUGAUAGUGGUCUUCGUCUUGGAUGAUGACCCUUUGAGGAGUAGGGGUUGUGGUGGUGCGGUGAGAACUGGUUGAGCAUGGUAAGAUUGGGUGGAGCUGCGUUGGCGUAAUGGCAUGGCUUCUAGCUGUCGCUCUGUGUUGGCCGGGACGAGAGCACGGGCAUCGGGGUCUUCCAUAGGCUCCAUGUUGAGGUUGAAGGGGACGACUUCCCAAUCAUCGUGGUACUUCUCAGCCAUUUGAGCAGCAAGGAACUAAUCAAACUCUAAUUGAAGGAGAGCUAAUCAAGCUCUAAUUGAAGGAGAGAAGGCUUGGUGGCUUGGUGUUUGAAAACUGAGGUCAGGGCUCUGUUUAUAUAGGGGUCAAAAGGGUGCCUCUAUGGGUUGUUCGGGUUGCUCCCGUCGACUUGCGUGGGAAACUUUCCAUCCGAGGGAUUAUUCGAAUUACCAAAAGUGCAUUUUCCAUAACUGAGAAAGUCGGGACCGAGGGGGGACAGGGGCAGGGCGCCCGCCCACUUGAUCUGGGCGCCCGCCCUCUCUCUGGCCCCACUGUGGGCCCACUUCUCCGAGCGCGUUUCUAGAUGAGAAAUUAUUUAAAAUAUAUAUAUAUGACCCAAAAACAUCAGACCAAAAGUGUCGAGCUCUAAUUCUCCAUGGGAAGGUAAAAAUGGACUACGUCUAUAUCUUCUAAUUCCUCAUUGGGCUCUAAAAAUAAUUUAAGACGUUGACCAUUUACCUUGAAUAACGUACCUUCGUCAUUUUGAAGUGUGAUAGCUCCAUGGGAUGAUGAAUUAAUUACCUUAAAUGGUCCUUCCCAUUUGCUCUGGAGUUUUCCAUGCCCGAAAAGCUUCACCCUGGAAUUAAAAAGUAAUACCUUAUCUCCGGGUGUGAACUCCUUCUUCUUGAUUCUCUUGUCAUGCCACCUCUUGACUCUUUCUUUGUAGAUCUUUGAAUUGUGAUAUGCUUUCUCUCGCCAUUCUUCCAAUUCUGAUAGUUGCAUUUUUCUAUAAUCUCCAGCAACAUCUAGGUCCAUAUUCCAUCUCUUUAUGGCCCAGUGUGCUUUGAACUCUAGCUCAACAGGUAGAUGGGAAGUCUUUCCGUACACCAAUUGGUAUGGAGACAUUCCAAUUGGGGUCUUGUAUGCUGUCUGGUAUGCCCAGAGUGCAUCGGGUAACUUGUCUUUCCACGCCGUUCCCAUUUCAUUUACUGUCUUCUGAUGAAUAUUCUUGAUUUGUUUGUUGGAAGUCUCUGCUUGGCCACUUGUCUGAGGAUGAUAGGGGGUAGCGACGUUGUGACGGAUUCCAUGUCUGAUGAUAUGUACAUGUCGUUCCGCCUGUACUCCUUACCCUGCCAUUGCCCUCAAACCUUCCAUUUUCGCCUCCUUCAAUCACCUGCAUCUUCGCAACCCAAAUCCACUUCUCACCUCCAAUGGCGAAGAGCAACGCCAAGAAGAGGGCUGAACUGAUGGCCAAGGAGUGGAAAAAGUCCCGCAGCACCACCAAAUCCCUCGGUGACCUGGUCGACAUGGGACUCCUGCACAGCUCGGAGCUCGGCGGCUGGAGAGCACCGGAAGGAGAAAGCUUCCCCGACCCUCGUGCCGGUGAGAUCGUCGUGUUUGAAGAUUUCGUUAAGAGGGGCUUUGGGGUUCCGGUUCAUCCUUUUCUCCAAGGUCUUCUUCUGUAUUAUGAGAUCGGGAUUUGCAAUCUGCACCCGAACUCAAUUCUCCUUAUUUCCACGUUUAUUCAUCUGUGCGAGGCCUAUGUUGGCAUAGAGCCGCACUUCGAUCUUUUUCGUUACCUUUUCUGCUUGAGGAAGAAGGGAGCAGUUGGAGGCUCCAAGGUUGCAGGUGGAGUGUACCUCAACCUUCGUGAUGGAAUGAAGAAUCACUACCUGCACUGUCCAUGGAACACUUCCUUGACCGAAUGGUAUAGGAAGUGGUUCUACGUCAGGGAGGAACCGGGCAGCUCCACGUUCUGCGACGUGGGGUACAUUCCCGAGAAGAGGGUAAGCUGGACCGACCGCCCGGAGUUCGACGGUCAAGUGGCGGAUCUGAUGAAGCUGAUCGACUGGUCGCGCCUGGAUGGGCUUGGCGUGGUCGGCAACUUCAUUUGUCGUCGGGUGAUGCCCUGCCAGAAGGGGGUGCACUCGGCGUACGAGUAUUCCGGAAGCGUGGACCCGACCAGGAUGCGACCGGAGAUCUUGGAGAAGGCAGAGGUACUGUUGACGGUGGAUAUACCAUAGAAAUCCACAUACAAAACACCGUCAACAUGCCUCGGUUGCAAGGGGAAAUGACAUGACAUGAACAUAUUUCAUCCAUAACUAGUUCCACUUGUACUCUUAGCUUGUUUAUGCAGGAACAACAAAUUCAAGACAUUAUUUGACAAAGCCAACAUCAGAAUCAUCAAGAGGAGAUCGAGGGGACAACAGGUGAUACCCUGGGCCCACAGGGAGGGGGUCGCCCGACCCCUCUUUGGUGGGACCCAGGUGUGCCACCUAGUCCACCGACAUAAGGGACCCCUGUGGACACUGCUGGUGGGCCCAGAGGCCCAGAAGUGGGGUCGCCCGACCCCACAUCAAAGGCGGUUCCAGGGUCGGUGGCCUCCCACCGACCUUCCCCACAUGUCCCACAUGUUGAUUUGCCCCUGCCGUUGAUCAAAUGGCGGUUGUGGGGUCGGUUUGGUCCAAGGGUGGAGAGAAGAUGUCACGCGGAUCGAUGACGUGGCGAUGGAGUAACCCCUACUCCAUCUCCCUCUAUAAAAGGCAGCCUCCAUCCUUCAUUUCAAGUGUGCAAUUCCAAGGCCAAGUGCAUUACAAGUUCCAAGCAUACAAGUAGAGUAGUAGUUAGUCUAGAGUGGGAGUUAGAGUCGAGUCGAGCGAAGCUCGGGGUCUCCGGAGUCGUCUUCUGGAGAGUCUGGUAUAGCUCUUGUACCUUUCUACUUUUGUAAGACUUUCCCUUUUAUUAAUAUAUUAUUCUUACUUUACUUUACUGAGUUCUUACUUAGUGCAAGUCUUUUAGUCUUGUUGUGCAUUUACUUUAGUAAUAUAGUUGUCUUAGUGAAGUUAGUGACCUGUAACCACUCCUGUGUGUGCAUCAUCGUCCUAUCUUGUAUAGGAGCUCUAGCUAGCUGCAACUAGUUAGAGUUGUAGGAUUAAGUGUGAGCGUGGUGCUCAUACUUAAGAUUACCUCUGAUUACCGCUGGCUUGAACGGAAAGUAGGAGCGCACUCCCUAGUAGGUGACAGAUCGUGGGCGGCAUUAGGUUCUCCUCACGUACAGGCUAGUUCUUAAAAGGUAAGGCGUCCAUAAGCCCAAUAGUCGCUUUCGGUAAGGGGUUAGGUGAAAAACCUUCUAAGUGUCUUACCAGCUCGGCUAUCCCUCGCACACAGUUAGUAAGGCUCUAGCGUAGUUAAGGCAAUUAUCUAUUAAAGUAAGUCACAGAAGUCAAGUUAGAUACAUAGGAGUCCUUUACUCACUCGUUGUCCUCCCACCUAGCUAACUCUACCAUUUACCUUUAGCAUAGGACCUUGGAUUCACCACUACCCUUCCUAUUCGUCAUUUACCACCCUUAUUCACUAGUUGAUACUAGACAACUCAAGGAAUCUCAUUCCCCUUUUUGUUAAACACACUUAGCCGCUUUCCCUUGGGAAAAUAUAAAUUACGAUACCUUGGAAUACUCCUUGGUGAAGUGCUACAGUGGUACAUUCUGUGCGCUUGCGGAAUUAUCCAAUAGUAAAUAGAGUUACCCUACCAGGGCACUUCUGGCGCCGUCGCCGAUAUCCGGUGGUUGCGUUAAGAAGUGUCAACAAGCAUUUCUGGCGCCGUUGCCGGGGAAAGCGUCUGUCUAAGAGUUUUAACAAAAAGAGAAUCCAGAGUUUGCUAGUUAUCAAGUAGUGAUAGGGAUAACCCAUCACUUGUCUUGUCUUCCUUUAUUGUGAAGCCUGACAGUGUAUGAGCGGUUUCCAAUUGCCGUCAAACUUCGUUGAAGAUCCUGAGCAACUGUUGAGGAGAACUAGACGUCGUCAAGUUCCACCUCAAAGGUUCAUCUCGAACCUGAAUCCGUUAGAGGAAGGAGUAUCUGCACCGGUUAUCAAAGAAGCUAUGGCCCAGAAGACCAUCUCUGAGUACUCUGCGCCGUCGGCUGACAAUGUCGCCACGGGUCCGCAGCUUAACUUGGGGGAUGCGACUUUUGAGUUGAAGCCUGCGCUUAUCAAUAUGGUGCAAGCCAAUCCCUUCUGUGGAAAGUCACACGAGGAUGCCAAUGCCCAUCUCCAACACUUCUUGGAGGUGUGCGGCACCUUCACCAUCAAGAAUGUCGCCGCAGACGCCAUCCGUCUUUGCCUCUUCCCAUUCUCGUUAUUGGGGAAGGCGAAGCAAUGGUUCUACGCCAACAAGGGUGAAGUGACCACGUGGGAGAGGUGCGCCAAUGCAUUUCUCAAGAAGUUCUUUCCGAUGGGCAAGACCAGCGCCCUUCGUGGAAAGAUUUCCAGCUUCCAACAGCAAGCGGAUGAGACGAUUCCCAAAGCAUGGGAACGUCUGCAGGAGUACAUUCGCGCCUGUCCUCAUCAUGGGAUAGAGGAGUGGCUCCUAAUCCAAGGUUUCUACCAUGGCCUGACCGGUUUGGCCCGUAGUCACCUUGAUGCUGCCGCUGGAGGAGCAUUCUUGCAACACAAUGUCAAGGAUGCCAAGGACCUCAUUGAAAAGAUGGUUAUAAACCAAGGAUGGAAUGAGGAACGCCUCCAACCCAAGAGAAGAGGUGUCCAUGCCUUGAAUGAGGUGGACAUGCUCUCUGCUAAGAUGGACCUCUUAAUGAAGAAGAUGGAAGAAAGUUCCAAGCAAGAGGCCAUUCAACCUUACGCCACUACACGGGCCAUUGAAUCUGAUUCAUGGUGCGAAGUGUGCGGAGGAGAUGAUCAUUCGGGAAACAAUUGUCCCGAAACAAAGGAGGAAGUGAGCUUCAUCAACAACAACAACAAUGGGUACCGGCCCCAACAACAGCAAUGGAACUCGCGCCCCUUCUACCAAGGUAAUCAAGGUAAUGGUUACAAUCAAAAUUUCAAUAAUUCUUUUGGUAACCAACCUUCUCUUAGAGAUCUUGUCUUAGGCCAAUCUAAAAUCAAUGAUAGCAUUAACAAGAAAAUGAUGGCUAAUGAUAAGAUCCUUGAAAACUUAAGUGAAAAGUUGGAUAGCUUUAACUCUGCUAUGAAAAAUCAGUUGAGCUUUAACAAAAUGCUAGAAACACAAUUAGCUCAAUUAGCAGCAGCUAUCCCAUCCUUCGAGCAAGGUAAGAUCCCAGGGAAACCUGAGGACCCAAUUGAAGGAGUUAAACUAGUUACUACGAGGUUCGGUAAGCCUCCGGUACAAUCCAACUGGAGCUAUCUUCUGGAUUCGCCCUUCAUCACCAAGAAGGACGACCCAGGCCUGCCGACCAUCACCUGUGAGAUCGGACCGCAAAUCUUCCACAACGCCUUCUGCGACCUUGGAUCGGGUGUCAACAUCAUGGCCAAGGUAACUUAUGAUAAUUUGCUAGGAGGGCCUUUGCACCCCACAUUUGUUCGUUUGCAGAUGGCAGAUCAGACGAUCAGGUUCCCUGAGGGGUUGGCAAGGGACAUACUGGUAAAAGUUCAAGACGACUACGUCCCUGCCGACUUCAUCAUUCUAGAUAUGGGAUCCAAUAAUGAUGUCUCGAUCAUCUUGGGAAGGCCAUUCCUCAACACGGUCAAUGCAGUCAUCUAUGUGGGGUCCGGCCAGAUUCACCUCCAAUUCCCAGGAUGGAAGGUAAAAUGUCCAUUCAAUGGUUAUAAAGCUAACAUGUAGGUGAAGGACAAAGAACCUCCGACUAAGCCUCGCCACAUCCGACGCCGAAGGGACAAGAGAGGUAAGUCGGCCAAAAGGGCCGAAAAGAAAGAAGAGGAACCCGCUGAACCAAAAAUCAAUACCAAGCAAGUAUGGCGGGAGAAAGAGGUGCAAUCAAGGUCCACGUCUCCGGGACCAUCUGAUGCACCCGAAGAAUGAACAAGAUGGAGAGGUCCUGCUCUACGGACCUAAAACAUGGAGCCCUUGCUGAUAAGGUAAAUCAGUAGUUAUCCCAUAUUUAUUUUCUGCAUUUCAAUUUCUACUAUUCACUUUUCAAUUGCAUUCUUACUUUGAAUUUUGCAUAUCUUAUUUCGACAAAAUGUUUAGCCAUAAUAAAUAAAAUCUUGAGAAUAACUUGUCAUAAAAAUUUGAGCUGCUGGAGCUCCCAACGGGGGGUCGCCCGACCCCACCUUGGGGCCCACUUCACCAUAUUUCAACCUUGCUAGUCAUAGAGGUUCCAACCCAGCACUUGGAUGCUCUGGGAGCUCCAAUGUGGGGGUCGGCCGACCCCCAUAUUGGCCCCACUUGCCUCCUGCUGGCCACCAUUUGAAUCACAAUGGAGUCCUAUGCUUGUAACACUAGCUAAAGUUUGAAAAAGAGUGGUCCCUUGAUCCUUUACUUUAGUCAUAAGAUGCUCCUUUCAUCUUUGAUUCUUUUGGGACCACUCCACUAGCUUAAAUUCUACAAAGUGGUCACCUAGGCAUGCUUGAGUGCUCCCAUGGUCCAUAGGAAUCACUUUAGACAUGUCUCCACUUUUGCCAUUCAUCUUUUACCUUUCACAAAGCACUAAAACAGGGAAUCUCAGAAACAAUUUGAAAACUUUUGGUCCACACCUAGCCUUUACUUUUCUGGACAAUCAAUGACACAAUGUUUAAAGUGGAGGAGGGGCUAGGAUGGGGGUCGGCCGACCCCCAUUUUUGGACCAUCUCUGCAAAAUCUUGAAAGCAUGCAGAAUGGUUCCCUGUAUAAAGCUAAAUUCAAAUUCAAAGUGCUUCUAGGGGGGGUCGGCCGACCCCUAUAUUGUGGGUCCACUACUUGCCCUUCUCCCCCUAUAAAUACCACAGCAUUGUGAGCUCAACUCCACACCCAAAACCACCAGAACCAUUUCGAGCUCACAAUCCUUUCUCUUCUCUCUUUGUUACAAGCCAUUUCUCAAGUUUAGUUUAGAAAUAGUCAUCAAAACAAAAACCCAAAAAGAUUCCCCUUGCAUAGUAGUAGUAGUAGGAGCUUGGUUUGCCUCACUUGUGUAGGAGGAUGAAGAAGCAUAUCUUCGGCAAGUUCAAGAAAGCAAAGGGUGAGAGCUCUUCUCAAGGCUCUCACCAUGCUCAUGGAAGGGAGGAAGAAGAAGGUUACCAUGGGAUGGUACCCUACGAGCCUCCAUCAAGGAUGAGAGAGCCCGAGAGCGGCCUCAUGUUAAGCCAAGAAGAGUUGCAAAGGUACUACAUCAUCCGAGAGAGUCUCUUCCUACACACUAGCAUCAUCGAUCCGGACCUUUUGGCCCGCACAGGUAUGGAUGUUGAAUUCGAUAAGGUGUUUAGAGCAAUUGGUUGGAGUAGUUUUUGGCAAGUGCCUGAAUUUGGAAAAGAAUUGCUUGCUAAGGAAUUUCUAUGCACCCUAAAACUCACAAAUAAUGGAAUAUCUCUUCGCGUGUGUGAGCAAGAACAUCAAUUAAAUUGGAGUUUGCUAAACACUGCUUUAGGGUGUGAACAUGAAUGUGAACUUGAUCUAGAUCAUGCCACUAGAAUGUUCGAUAAAUUUAGAUUCUGGAAAGCAAUUUUUGGCUCUAAUGAUUGUUCAAAUCCUACUCCCAUUGAAAUCCAUAAUCCAACCUUGCGCUUUCUUCACUUCUGGAUCAUGUGCACUUUAUAUCCUGGCAUGGGAACUGAUACUUUAAUUGAUGAUGAACUUAAAAUUCUCUAUGCCAUGGUUAGUAAAAUCAAGGUCUCCCCUGUGAAACUGCUAGUGAACUAUUGGCUUAACUCUAUUGAGUAUGGGAAGCCCAUCUAUUUCACAUCCUUUAUUACUCGAAUAGCCGAUACUUUUGGAUUACUUGAAUCACAUUAUUUUGAAGACAUUGGCUAUGUUAGAGGAGUGGUAGAUGAGAACUUCUUUAUCAAUGCUAACAUGCUCAUAAGAGAUCAAAAUGGUGAACUUAAAAUGAUUUAUCCGGGCUAUACAACCGAAAUUCCUCUCCCAUGUGCGAGGCGCCGGUUGUAUGGGGUCCGCACACUUACCAUUAGACUAGCCCGAGUGGCAAGUCCAGAUGUUGCAGGGACACGCAGGGUGACAAGAAGGAUGAUGCAAGCCGCCCAGAUGGAGCAAGGAGGAUCCUCGCACCAUGACGUUGAAGAGGGCGAUGAAGCGAUGUCAGUAGAUGCUUCAGACUCCAUGGGUCUACCUCCACAACGCACUCCACGCCCAAGGGGCAGGGCUAGGCGUCACCAGCCCACAGGUAUGGACAGUCUCAUUAAUGACAUGGGCGAAUUGCAGAUUGGGCAAGAAGCAACAUUGCAACUGGCGUUACAAAACGGCCAACAUAUCCGACGUGUGCGAGAGGAAGACGCACAACGCUGGGCUGGAUGGUACCAGAAUUUCCCGGCACCACAGUGAGCGAAGAUCUAGCUUGGGGGAGAUCCUCUCCCCCACUAAGGUAAGUAUUCUAUCCUAUUUAUUUUCAUGCAUUUUAUCAUUCUUGCUUAAAAAAUAAAUAUUUAUUAGCAUUUCCCUUUAGCAUAUAUGCUUCAUGUAUGUUUAUAUCCCUCAUGGAAAUGAUGACUAGUUGCUUGUUAAUGUUUCUCUAGUGCCUAGUAUACAACUUAGUAUUUCUCUAAGUAUGGAUCACUUAGCUCACUUAAACUGCCAUGAACCUAAAAAGUUUGUGGGUUGCAAGUGCUAGAACUAAGUCUAAGUUGUUGUGGGACAUGAGAUAGUAAGACAAGAGCCACUAUAAUAUUUUUCUAAGCAUGCAUGAUUAUCAGAGAUUUAUUCUUAAAAUGAUCAAAACCUUAAUUGUUCCUCAAUGGUGAUGAAUUCCUACCACAGCCAUAUCUACUUUACAUAAUUGCAAUCUUUCCACAUAAGCUAUUUGCUUUGUGUUGAGUGUCGUCAAGUCUUGUUGACCCUUGUUAAGAGACUUUUUCAUGCUCCUAAGAUCAAGAUCACGUACACACCACAUAUAUACAUGCUACUUCUACACUGGAAGUACGCAACCACAUGUAUUUCGCAUCCACUAAAUAGGUUGCUCCGUACUCUAAAUGUUAGAACAUCUCUCUAAGCAUUAUUUGGUAAAUGAGACAUCAAAAGGCUUGGCAAAAUAAAAGAAAAAUAAAAAGAUGGACAUGUGCAAGUCCACAGAAAAAGAAAAUUGAGCACAUGAAAGCUCAUAUAAAAAAAAAUGCUAGCCAUGUCUCAAUACAUAGAGAGUCUAUCAAAUAAAGGAGCAACCUAGUCCACCAUAUAUCACACUUGCACAUCUUGAUCUGGGAGUAUGACACUUCUUUUCGAGGAUCCGAGCUUUGACUUCGCAAUACAUGCAAAGUAAGUAUGCUAUCUCCUUUCAUCCCUACCUUGAACUCCACAUAAGCCUUUUAGAAAUAGGAUGAAAUAGAGAAGGCAACUCUUACCAUAUGCCUUGGUGAGGAAUCAUACACCAUUUGAGUGACAUGAGAGAACCAUAAGAGGAACAUUUAAGCUUUCUUUUGAAAAUAUCACAAAACCUCUGAUAUGAAACUUGCUAAGAAUGAGAAAGUUAGUGCUCAAGUCAAACUGUUCUGUCUCUCAACCACCUAAGACAAAGGAAAAGCCAUAAGCCCCAUAAGGGACUAAGGUAAUAGGGGUAAGUUUACAUAGCUAAAUUUUUCAUGCAAAGAGAAGAACUUUGUUGUACACAUGGUACUCUUGAAAUGUGAACAUAGUAACAAUACCUGAUCCACCGAGGCUAAGUUUGAUUGUUUGCUCGGGACGAGCAAAGGUUAAGCUUGGGGGAUCUUGUUGACGGUGGAUAUACCAUAGAAAUCCACAUACAAAACACCGUCAACAUGCCUCGGUUGCAAGGGGAAAUGACAUGACAUGAACAUAUUUCAUCCAUAACUAGUUCCACUUGUACUCUUAGCUUGUUUAUGCAGGAACAACAAAUUCAAGACAUUAUUUGACAAAGCCAACAUCAGAAUCAUCAAGAGGAGAUCGAGGGGACAACAGGUGACACCCUGGGCCCACAGGGAGGUGGUCGCCCGACCCCUCUUUGGUGGGACCCAGGUGUGCCACCUAGUCCACCGACAUAAGGGACCCCUGUGGACACUGCUGGUGGGCCCAGAGGCCCAGAAGUGGGGUCGCCCGACCCCACAUCAAAGGCGGUUCCAGGGUCGGUGGCCUCCCACCGACCUUCCCCACAUGUCCCACAUGUUGAUUUGCCCCUGCCGUUGAUCAAAUGGCGGUUGUGAGGUCGGUUUGGUCCAAGGGUGGAGAGAAGAUGUCACGCGGAUCGAUGACAUGGCGAUGGAGUAACCCCUACUCCAUCUCCCUCUAUAAAAGGCAGCCUCCAUCCUUCAUUUCAAGUGUGCAAUUCCAAGGCCAAGUGCAUUACAAGUUCCAAGCAUACAAGUAGAGUAGUAGUUAGUCUAGAGUGGGAGUUAGAGUCGAGUCGAGCGAAGCUCGGGGUCUCCGGAGUCGUCUUCUGGAGAGUCUGGUAUAGCUCUUGUACCUUUCUACUUUUGUAAGACUUUCCCUUUUAUUAAUAUAUUAUUCUUACUUUACUUUACUGAGUUCUUACUUAGUGCAAGUCUUUUAGUCUUGUUGUGCAUUUACUUUAGUAAUAUAGUUGUCUUAGUGAAGUUAGUGACCUGUAACCACUCCUGUGUGUGCAUCAUCGUCCUAUCUUGUAUAGGAGCUCUAGCUAGCUGCAACUAGUUAGAGUUGUAGGAUUAAGUGUGAGCGUGGUGCUCAUACUUAAGAUUACCUUUGAUUACCGCUGGCUUGAACGGAAAGUAGGAGCGCACUCCCUAGUAGGUGACAGAUCGUGGGCGGCAUUAGGUUCUCCUCACGUACAGGCUAGUUCUUAAAAGGUAAGGCGUCCAUAAGCCCAAUAGUCGCUUUCGGUAAGGGGUUAGGUGAAAAACCUUCUAAGCGUCUUACCAGCUCGGCUAUCCCUCACACACAGUUAGUAAGGCUCUAGCGUAGUUAAGGCAAUUAUCUAUUAAAGUAAGUCACAGAAGUCAAGUUAGAUACAUAGGAGUCCUUUACUCACUCGUUGUCCUCCCACCUAGCUAACUCUACCAUUUACCUUUAGCAUAGGACCUUGGAUUCACCACUACCCUUCCUAUUCGUCAUUUACCACCCUUAUUCACUAGUUGAUACUAGACAACUCAAGGAAUCUCAUUCCCCUUUUUGUUAAACACACUUAGCCGCUUUCCCUUGGGAAAAUAUAAAUUACGAUACCUUGGAAUACUCCUUGGUGAAGUGCUACAGCGGUACAUUCUGUGCGCUUGCGGAAUUAUCCAAUAGUAAAUAGAGUUACCCUACCAGGGCACUUCUGGCGCCGUCGCCGAUAUCCGGUGGUUGCGUUAAGAAGUGUCAACAGGUACAACGGCUGUUGAACGAGCUGUUCAAUUUUGCGGAUGGAGGCUUCAUCCGCGGCAGUGAUCGGGUGCAAGCCUUCAAGUUAGGCCGACCAGCACCAAAGGUAUGUUGCAGAGUAUUUUGUGUUAGCAUUCGUAUAUCGUCUGUAGCUGACUCAUCUUUGUUGCUUUUGCAGAUCGGCGAUGUCGACCGAUGCGCAGUGUAUAUAUCACUGGCACCGGGGAUGGAGAAUCCUGCGGGAGAAGACUUGCCAGAAAGCAAUGCUGCUAGGUGUACUCGUUACACCAGCAUUGAGGAGGAACAAGCCCACCCCGUCCCGACCACCGAGGAGAGGGUAGCGGGGAAAAGGCCAUUGCCGGCAGAUCCCUUGCCGACACCGAUGUUGCCGGCAGAUCUACCGGCGGAGAGCAGCCAAGCGCCGAAGCGUCGUCGGCUCGUGCGGAUCGUUGACGACGACGACGACGACGAGGAGGCUGCGCCGUCGUUAGUCCGACGGCCUCGGAGCCGCCCAGAUAAUGCGCCGGCCACUAUUGAUCAAGUGGCCAGCGACCCCCCUGCACCGCAAGUUGUCGAGAUGGGGGCGCAGGUGCCGACCGGCCGGGCGAGGAGGAGGUUCACCGCGACCCACCGUCAAUCAGACCUGUAAGUGUUCGACUUACGUAUUUUGGACUCCUCUUUGCUUUUUUUUUUAAAUUACACUUUUGUUCCUGUAGUGCGGCGUCGGAUGUCGACCCCGGCCAGGCUGCCAGCCAGGGGACGGGCGAGCCUAUCCGCGCUGCUGAAGAUACGCCCCCCCAGACCACAGAGCAGCCUACGGCUGCAACCGCGCCUGGGAGCACCGAGGGGCUCCCGACCGCGGCACCGACUACGACAGGCAGCCCGACCAGGGCUGGAGAGGCUCCCCCAGCUGGCUCCACAGAAGAGGAGGGAAGAUCCCCGAAACCUCUUCCUGCCGGGGGGAGUGAAGUCCCCACGCCGCCCCGAGCAGGAACCUCUUCGGCUGCAGGCUCCCCAGGUCUGGUCCGAGGGCCAGUAAUGCCUGGGACCACCACCGGGGGUGACGCAGCGCAGGAGGAGGAAACCCGGGCGGCCUCCGAUGACGAGGUGGAAGAGAUUGAGGGUCGUCCCCGUGAUGGCCGCCAACACGUAUAUGUGUGGCGCCAACGCGGGGAUCACUUUAUCGGGCAUGAGGAGCUCGCCGAGACCGAGGAGGCCGCCAGGGUGGAGCGCGCGGCCAAGCGCCUCGUCGACGAAGUCAAGGUAAGCGACUUUUUGUACUGCUGUACAUUCUAUGCCUUGUCUUGCAUGGUCGUUAUAUGCUCGCUUUGUAGGGCGCAAUGAAAACGGCAAAGUACCGGAAAUGGUGCUUUGACCAGAUAGAAGGCGUCAUGGCCGAGAACAAGGCCCUUGCCGCGGAGGUAGACCGGCUGCGGUCGGAAGUCGGGGAGAAGGUGGCCGAGAGGAGUGCCCAAGAGGAGCGUCGUCUCGACCUCACUCGUCGCUUGGCCGACCAGUACCGGCAGCGAGAAGGUUAGUCAAACGCUCCGAGCAGCUUUGCGUACUUGUGUAGUUUGCUUUACUGGCCAGUUUAUGAUUCACGCAGACUUGGAGGGGGAGGUGGCGCGCCUCCGACAAGAGAAGGAGCAGCUCAGCCAAUAGCUCGCCGGUGCGCUGGAGUCCGGGCGGCGAGCAGGAGAGGAAUUGGGUCGAAAGGACCGGGAAUUAUCUGGUAACGGGUGCCGCCUUGUUAGCUGCUGCUUGUCGCCCCUUUGUUUGUUUGGUAUGCCGAAAAUAACGCUUUGUUUCGUUUGCAGUGCUCAAGGUGAACACCAAGAAGCACCUGGAUGAUCUGAUCAAGGACCGGGACUCCUGGAAGGUCAACUGUUGCAGGAUCUAGAAAGGAGUGUCCCCGGUCCUAGACCUGAUCAGUCCCGAGCUCCCGGAGAGCCAGCCCCGCGCGCCGUAGUUGACCCCGGUCGAGAAGGCGCAACGGGCGUGGGACUGGCUCCAGCAGUUUGUGAAGGACGCCGGGGAGUUUGCCGGCGCGCACGUCCUCAGCAUGGUGCGCACCCACUACCCCCUGGUCGACUUGAGCAGGCUGGAGAAGGGGUACCCGAAGGAAGUCGGCCCACAGGAAGCGGACGAGCUUCGGGGUAGUCUGCUGGACUUGUCGUCGACAGUGAUCGGCGACAUCAAUCUGUGCGGAACGACCACUCCUCCAGACCAGCCGAGUUCAGAUAGGUCGGCCAGGGAGUUGUCGGGCGCGUCCGUUGCGGGAGAUGGGCGGUCGACGCCUGCGGUCUCGACCAGCCAGGCGCCGGUGGCCCCGACCCCUUCGUCCGGGCAGCAGGGCCAGGCGGGUGAUCAGCCCGAGCAGCUAGGCCAAUAGAGUAGUCUGUAGGAAUAGACUAGUGUCUGCCCGUCAGGGUAUUUAUUGUAAACUUUGUAUGUAAAGUUUGUAAUAAAGUUUGCUUUUUGUCAUGACUGUUGUUUUGAGCGCUGUAAGAAUAUCUGAGUGACGUGUCACCGUAUUCGUCUUGGUAGUCGCUAAGAGCAUCCAUUGCAGGAGUUUUGCCGAGUGCUGUGUGCGACAAGGUAUAGGCAAAAAAUAGAGAAUUUCAUUAUCAAAAAUUAUAAGAUACUUACAAAGGAAAGUUAUUAAAACUUUAUGAUAGAAACGUCGCAGUUUGUCGAUGUGCCAAGAGUUAGGCACUCGUGUUCCGUCUGGGUAUGCCAAUCUGUAGGACGUAGGUCGUGUGACCUCGGUCACCACGAAAGGUCCUUCCCAGGGAGUGGAUAGCUUAUGCAUUCCCUCCUGGCUUGUUUUCCAUCGAAGUACCAGAUCGCCGACCACGAAGGAACGGUCCCUGACGUUCCUGUUGUAGUAUCGCCUGACUGCCGCGAGAUAUUUUGCUGUUCGGAGACAAGAAUCUAAACGCUUUUCCUCCAUGCAAUUGAUUUCGAGUUCUCUGGCGUUGUCGGCGGUCGCCUGGUCGAAGUGUUCGAUUCUAGGAGAUCCGAAGUGUAUGUCACACGGCAGGACCGCCUCGGCACCGUACACCAUGAAGUAGGGAGACACCCCUGUGUUUCGACUGGUCUGAGUUCGGAGGCCCCAGACCACUGCCGGCAAUGCUUUCAUCCAUCGACCGGGUGCUCUGUUGUUUUCGGUGUACAACCUUUUCUUUAGGGCGUCAACGAUCAUUCCGUUAGCACGUUCAACUUGACCGUUGGCACGUGAAUGUGCCACUGACACGUAUUUUAUGACUAUGCCUCUGUCAUCGCAAAAGUCCCAAAAAGUGGUGCCAGUAAACUGAGUGCCCAGGUCGGUGAUUAUGCUGUUCGGGAUGCCGAAUCUGUGUAUGAUUUGAUUGAGGAACUCCACAGCCUUCUCAGAGGUUGCCUUGACCAGGGGCACAUAUUCGAUCCACUUGGAGAACUUGUCGAUUAACACAAAGACAAACUUGAAAUAGCCCGGGGCUGGUUUAAAUGGCCCGAUCAUGUCAAGCCCCCAGCAAGCAAAGGGCCAAGACGACGAGAUGGUUUGAAUUUCAUGGGCAGGUACGUGGGUCCUCUUAGCGAAAAACUGACAUCCUGCGCAAUGUCGAACCAGUUUUUCUGCGUCGCCGACCGCGGUUGGCCAAUAAAAACCUGCUCGGAAAGCCUUUCCGACCAGCGUUCUGGAUGCGGCGUGAUUGCCGCAGGAUCCAGCAUGUAUGUCCUCUAAGAGCUUGAUACCAUCAUCUUGAGGUAUGCACUUGAGCAGUACUUCGGAGCUUGCGUUUUUCCGCAUGAGUUUUCCGUCGACCAGGAUGUAGUUCUUUGAUCGUCGGAUGAGGCGCUCGUUCUCUGUUUUGUCCUGAAGGCCUGUCCCAUCCGAUAUGUAUUUGAUGAACGGGGUACGCCAGUCGCGCCCACCGGUUGUCGGAGUGGCGUCGUCUAUGAGCAUUGCCUCGGUAGGUUGCUUGUCGACCAGGGAGGAGCCUACUCUCGGCUCGUGGAUGUCUUGGAUGAAAAUACCCCGCGGGAUCUGUGCCCGAGAUGAGCCUAACUUCGACAACGCAUCUGCUGCUUGGUUCUUAUCCCGGACCACGUGGAUGUACUCUAUGCCGUAGAAGUUGGUUUCCCAUUUGCGAAUUUCUUUGCAGUAGAGAUCCAUCUUCUCGUGGGUUGCGUCCCACUCCUUGUUGAGCUAGUUGAUGACCAAAGCGGAGUCGCCAUAGACAUAUAGUCGCUUGACUCCCAGCUCAACGGCUAGUCUUAUGCCAUGCAAGCAUGCUUCGUAUUCGGCGACGUUGUUUGACGCCGGAAAAAGGAUCCGAAGGACGUAACGCAGUUUGUCCUUGUUGGGUGAUACGAACAGUAUCCCAGCGCCGGCACCGUUGAUGUUCAAGGACCCAUCAAAGAACAUUGACCAGUGGUCUGAGACAUCGGGAAUGGGAGGCUCAUUGAGAUCCGUCCAUUCAGCAAUGAAAUCGACCAGGGCCUGAGACUUGACCGUAGUUCGGCUCUGGAACUCCAGCGAAAAUGGGCACAAUUCCAUCGCCCAUUUCACGAUUCUGCCAUUGGCGUCUUUAUUGCGCAGGAUGUCCCCGAGAGGGAAACUGGUUGUCACCAGGACUCGAUGGCCGUCGAAGUAGUGCUUCAGCUUUCUUGACGUUAUCAGAAUGGCGUAUAUGAGCUUCUGUAUUUGUGGAUACCUGGCCUUGGACUCGUUUAAGACUUCACUUAUGAAGUAAACGGGUCUCUGGACCUUGUAGGCGUGACCUGGUUCAUCUCGCUCGACCACUAUUGCCGUGGAAACAACCCUGUCGGUUGCAGCAAUGUAAAGAAGUAGGUCUUCAUUGGGCUGAGGCGCGGUGAGGACAGGUGGUGAAGUGAGGAAGGUCUUAAGCUGAGUGAACGCAGCGUCGGCUUCCUCUGUCCAAGAAAAUUUUUCUGACGCUUUCAAUAGUUUGAAGAAAGGGAGGCCUUUUUCUCCCAGCCUUGAGAUGAAACGACUGAGGGCGGCCAUGCAUCCGGUUAGCUUCUGAAUAUCCUUGACGCUCUUCGGUGGUCGCAUGUCGAGUACGGCUUUGACUUUUGAAGGGUUUGGUCGUAUGCCGUCGCGACUGACGACGUUGCCGAGCAGUAGACCGGAAGGAACGCCGAAAAUGCAUUUCUUGGGGUUGAGCUUCCACUUGUACCUAUUGAGUGCCUUGAAGGUUCGGUCUAAGUUGUCGAUUAGGGUGCUCGCGUCCCUUGUUUUUACGACCACGUCGUCCACAUAGGCCUCGACGAGGUCGUCAUGAAUCUCGUCGUGGAGGCAUUGCUGGAUGGCCCUUUGAUAAGUGGCUCCGGCGUUUUUGAGUCCGAAAGACAUGGUCGUGUAGCAGUAUGCGCCGAAAGGUGUAAUAAAAGACGUUUUGAUCUGAUCUUUUUCCUUUAGCGAGAUCUGGUGAUAACCAGAGUAGCAGUCUAGAAAAGAGAGGAGUUCGCAUCCGGCCGUUGAGUCGACCACCUCGUCGAUGCGAGGGAGACCAAAAGGAUCUUUAGGACAGUGUUUAUUGAGAUCAGUGUAAUCAACGCACAUUCUCCAUUCAUUGUUCUUUUUGCGUACAAGAACCGGAUUGGCGAGCCAAUCGGGGUGAUACACUUCUUUUAUGAAUCUGGCUGCUAGAAGCCGUGUUAUUUCUGUCCUAAUAGCCUCCUUUUUGUCAUGAGCGAACCGUCGCAGUUUUUGCUUGAUUGGUCUUGCGGCCUCCUUUUCUGUCCUAAUAGUGCUCGAUGAGGUUUCGUGGGACACCGGGCAUGUCUGCGGGUUUCCAUGCGAAAACGCUCACGUUGUCCCUUAGAAACCUGACGAGCGCGUCUUCCUAUUUUGGAUCCAGGUUGGCCCCGAUGAGGGCUGUCUUCUCGGGGCUGCCUUCGACCAGCUGCACUUCUUUGUACUCCUUGGAUUUUGAGUUCUUCCUGGCUGUCGCCUGUUCGGGUAGUCGGAGCUGGUCGGGAGGCAGCUGUGCGGCUUGGUUUGCUGUUUCUGCCAUGCGGAUUGAGAGGUCGAUUGCCUCGGUGAUCUUGAAGCUUUCUUCUUCGCAGGUGUACGCAGUGUAGACGUUGCCUCUGACGGUUAGGACACCCUUCUCCGUGGGCAUCUUAAGGACUAAGUAUGAGUAGUGCGGGACUGCCAUGAACUUUGUCAGCGAUGGUCGGCCCAGUAUCGCGUGAUAGGUCCCGUCGAAAUCCGCGACUACGAAGUUGAUGAACUCCGUCCGGAAGUGGUCGGGUGUGCCGAAUUGGACAGGCAAUGUUAUCUGUUCGAGAGGCACUGAACUUUGACCUGGCAAGACCCCCCAGAAUUGGGCGUCGUAAGGUUUUAGUUGUGCAGGGGAUAUCUUGAGGGUGGGCAGGCUGUUGCGGAAGAGGAUGUCGAUGGAGCUUCCCCCGUCCAUGAGCACGCGCUCGAAUCUGAUGCUGUUAAUGCAGGGGUCAAGAAUCAGGGGGAAACGACCCGGCUCUGGGAUAGUGGCCCACUGGUCCUUCCUGCUGAACGAGAUCUCCCUGUGGGACCACGUGGGAAAUUUCGGGUCUGCGAUCAGCCCGUCCGUGCUGUCUAUGUUGAGGCAGGCUCUCUUUAACAGCUUUCUUUCUCGCUUGGACUCAGUGGAGACCUUGCCCCCGAAAAUGGAGUGGACCACGUCAGUGGGGCUGACGUAUUGGUGUCGGGGGUCCCUAUCUUGGUCCUCAUCCUCAUCUUCGUGGUCGUGCCCGUCGCGCUUGUUAUUUUUCUUGGCGGAGUCGUCUUGGGCGGCCCGCCGUGUAUAGAUACUUUUGAGGACGCGGCACUCUUCCAUGGUAUGAUUGGACUUUGGAUGUAGUUGGCAUGGUCCCUUCAACGUUCUGUUGUAGUCUUCAUGGUAGUCCCGUCGUCCAUUGGGACGUUUGACCGUAUUUACUUCGUGGUCGAAGUCGCGAGGGCGCUUUCCUCUGAAGUCGUCGCGGCUGUCGCGCCGCCGAUCCCAACCCUCUCGGUGAUCGCGGUUGUCGGAGCGGCGGUGGUUUCUGCUGUCGUAGCGACCGCGACCGUCAUCCCGCCGGGGAGGCUGGUCGUGACCUCUCGCAUCGUCUCGGAUUAGUUUUUCUGCGUCGUCGGCGUCGGCGUAAUUUUUGGCCGUGGCGAGGAGUUCCGCCACCGUUGUUGGACGUUUACGCAACAGCUUGUUCCUCAGCGCUUCGUGGAAACGCAGGCCCUUGAUGAAGGCUGAGAUGGCCUCGUCGUGGGAAAUCUUCGGGAUUUUGAGGCGCAUAUCCGAGAAUCGUCGGAUGUAAUCGCGCAGAGGUUCGUUCUUCCUGUCCCUUAUCCUUUCAAGGUCAUACUUAUUUCCAGGCUGCUCGCAUGUGGCGAUGAAGUUGUCGAUGAAAGCCUGGCGUAGCUCUUCCCAAGAGUCGAAGGAGUCCUCGGGCAAGCCGAGAAGCCAUUGAUGACCAGCCUGGUCGAGGACUACGGGGAAGUAGUUAGCCAUGACGUGCUCAUCCCCUGCCGCUGAUCGGACGGCGAUUUCAUAGAGGGUGAUCCAGUUCUCUGGAUUUUCCUUGCCGUCGUAUUUUUUAAGCUUUUCGAGCUUGAAAUUGCGGGGCCACACGACCUGGCGGAGGUGUGAGGAGAACUGUCUUAGGCCCGGGGGACCGUGCGUUGCAUCGUACUCGAUGCGGCGCAGGUUUUCGUGGACUGCUCUCUCAGCGGCGCGCCUGUUGAUGCGAUCCCGGGCAUCUUUGGGAGGGAUGUUGUGGCGGAGAUCCCUGUGCUGAUUUACUUCUUGGCCGCGUACGCGGUUCUGCUUGCGGCGACCGUCGGCGUCCCGACCACCAUCGUCGCGCCGUGAGUCCCCUCGACGGUUGUCGGGGGAGCGGCUGCGGUGACGCCUGCUGGGUGAGGCCCGGCUACGAUUAGUCUGGUCGGAGGCGGCUUCCGUAUAAGAGACGUCCUGGACUCUCUUGAGCAGAGUGACUGUCUGUCCCAUUGCAGUGAUCAGGUGUGCUCGGACGCUGGUCCGGACUCCCUGGCAUUCGGGGGUAUCAGGAAGCCGAUCUAGGUUAGCCAUGGUGACAGCCACGUUGGCGCUUGGCGUUUUGUAGACUGGCUGGUCCCCGACCAUGUCAAAGGCAUCGUUGAGAUUAUUUGGUGGCAUUUGUUGUUGCUCGUCUGCGCGUCGUCGGACGCGAUCGGCGUUGCGCUGUUCGCGGAGUUGCCUCUGGUCAUCUGUUUCUCCAUCAACGACCGGUUCGUCGGCGCUGACAUUGAACACAAUAUCCCCUCGCCGGGGGGGGAAUAUCGGGAAUCGGUUGAAACCCGAAGGGUGUGAAGGAAAGUCCAGGUCGUAGUCCUCAUCUUCGGUGUUUAUAACCUCGGUGGGGACGGAACCGGUGCUUGAGUUGGUGCUGGUAACCUGGCCGUCCCGCAGUUCUCGGAUUGUCACCAUGUUGACGUAGUGACGAUUGUUUCUUGUCGGCGACCAACCCGCCUUGCCGAAAACGGACUGGGUGUGCUGUGAGUAAACAGAGGCCGAGUUGUUCAGGCCGCAAGGAUAAUCUUCCUUCUUGAGCUCGACGGAUCGUCCUGAGGGUGUUGAGGUUAUCGUCAGAGACGCUCCCAGCCGUUCGUGUGUGGCGACACGAGUUGGCCGGCGGGAUUUGAAAAAAUCCGCUGGAGCAGCUUGGUCGGGCCGAUGCAGAACUCCGUCUAUUAGUUGGGAAACUUCGAGUAGCUUGGAGUCAGCGCGAUCAAGCGCUUGGAGAAGGUCCGAGCAGUCGAUCUUCUUUCCCUUGUAGAGUGGGAACGGUGGUCGGGCGCUUGGUGCCGUCACGCGUGUGGUCGGAGACGGCGUGAUCUCAGAUUGGAUCUGGAUCUCUUUCGAAACUGUGGUCGUGAGGCCGCCGCUGCACGUCGUCCACGUGAUCUGGCCGACGGUGAACGUGAGGCCUUCAGGCACGGUCGCGGAAGCUGGGAUCGUGACCAUCUUGUUCGCCGGAAAAGUUGCACGCACACCCCCUACCUGGCGCGCCACUGUCGACGAAAGUUGGUCGGCAGUCUACCUUGGGGUAUACCCACGGUAGUAGUUUAUCGGUAGACGGUGCGCAAACUACGAACUCGAUGGUGACGCAAGACACAGGCAAGGAUAUUAUCCAGGUUCGGCCGCCGUGUGGGCGUAAUACCUACGUCCUGCGUCUGGUUGUAUUGAUUUGUGUUGAGAGAAUAUGAUGUGUCCUAGGGGCGUCCCUUGCCCCUCCUUAUAUAGUCUGGAGGGCAGGGUUACAGAUCUGGAAACUAAUCCUAGUCGGUUACAAUUGCCAUGGAUAAUUCGAUAUCAAUUCCUAUUCUAACCGACUAGAAUCCUGCUUGAUCUCCACAUCUUGUUUCCUUGUGCGAAACUCCAGGUUGUCGGAUCAAGCCUUGAACUCGUCUCGUAAUGGGCCAAGCCUCCUGGCCCAAGUCUAGCCGUAAGGGUAUAGGGGUUUAUACCCCCACAGUAGUGACGUUGUGACGGAUUCCAUGUCUUGAUAGAUAUUGCUUGAAGCGUUUGUCGAUGAAGUGUGCUCCUCCAUCACUUAUCACUACUCUGGGGACUCCAAAUCUUGGAAAUAUAAUUUCUUCAAACAUCCUCUUUGAACUGACGUUGUCGGCAUGCUUGCAAGAUAAUGCCUCUACCCACUUGGAGACAUAGUCAACUGCCACUAAGAUGUAUUCGCACUUCUUUGAUGGAGGAAAUGGACCCAUGUAGUCUAUUCCCCAGACAUCAAAGAGCUCAAUCUGAAGGUUGGUGGUGAGUGGCAUUGCAUCCCUUGUAUUUAUGUUUCCGUGCCUUUGACAUGGCCCACAUCUUCUGAUAUAUUGCUUCGUGUCUUCAUACAUUGUAGGCCAGUAGAAUCCACACUGCCAGAUCUUUGAAUGUGUACGGAAUGCUCCAUAGUGACCUCCAUAUGGUGAUGAAUGACAUUUGUCGAUGAUCUUCCAUCCUUCCUCAGUGGUCACACAUCUCCUGAGUAAGCCAUCAGAGCAUACUCGGAAGAGGUAUGGCUCAUCCCAUAUAUGUGAACGACUUUCUUGAAUAAGCUUCUUCUUGUUUGCUCCUGGUGGUACAUACCCUGAAACCAUAAAAUUAACAAUAUCUGCAUACCAGGGGUCAGACCUGUUAAUCCCUUUGAGCAUGUCGUCCCGGAGUGAAUCAUUGAUGGGGGUUUCCUGUGGACUCUUAAAAUACAUUCUAGACAAGUGAUUAGCAACAGAAUUUUCUACUCCCUUUUUAUCUUUUAUUUCUAAGUCAAAUUCUUGGAGUAAUAAGAUCCAUCUAAUCAGGCGAGGUUUAGCAUCUUUUUUAGUGAGCAAAUAUUUUAGUGCAGCAUGAUCAGUGUAAACAAUUAUUUUAGCUCCAACUAAAUAAGAUCUAAAUUUAUCAAUGGCAAAGACAACAGCCAGAAGCUCUUUUUUAGUGGUUGCAUAAUUAAGUUGAGCUCCUGUCAAAGUUUUACUGGCAUAAGCAAUUGCAUGAUGCUUCUUAUCUUUAGUUUGUCCCAAUACUACCCCCAUAGCAUAAUCACUAGCAUCACACAUAAUUUCAAAAGGCAGCGACCAAUCAGGGGGUUGAAUGAUUGGUGCAGAGAUGAGUGCUUUCUUUAAUAAAUUGAAAGAUGUUAGACAUGCAUCAUCAAAUUCGAAAGGAGCAUUCUUGGCUAGCAAAAGAGUAAGUGGUCUAGUAAUAAAUGAAAAAUAUUUUAUGAAUCUACGAUAAAAACCAGCAUGGCCAAGAAAGCUUCGAAUUCCUUUUAUAUUCACAGGUGGAGGUAGUUGUUCAAUUACUUCAAUUUUGGCUUUGUCUACCUCAAUUCCUCUUUCAGACACUAAGUGUCCCAGCACUAUUCCUUCCCUAACCAUAAAAUGACAUUUUUCCCAAUUAAGGAUUAAGUGCUUUUCUUCACAUCUUUGCAAAACCUUGUCUAAGUUUUCAAGACAACUAUCAAAAGUUUUUCCAUAAACAGAGAAAUCAUCCAUAAAAACUUCCAUAAUCUCUUCAAUCAUAUCAGAAAAUAUAGACAUCAUGCAUCUUUGAAAAGAAGCUGGUGCAUUACAUAACCCAAAAGACAUUCUACGAUAAGCAUAAGUUCCAUACGGGCAUGUAAAAGUGGUUUUGCUUUGAUCAUCAGGAUGGAUCGGGAUUUGAUGAUACCCUGAAUAUCCAUCUAAGAAACAAAAGAAUGAAUGGUUUGCUAACCGCUCUAGCAUCUCAUCUAUAAAAGGUAAAGGAAAGUGAUCCUUUCUCGUGGCUUUAUUUAGUUUUCUAUAGUCUAUGCACAUCCGCUAUCCUGUGACGGUGCGUUGCGGAAUUAGCUCGUUCUUUUUAUUCAUAAUAACAGUCAUGCCUCCCUUUUUAGGCACAACUUGUACUGGGCUCACCCACUCACUGUGCGGCACAGGAUAUAUAAUCCCUGCAUGCAGUAACUUUAUAACUUCCUUUUUAACUACCUCUCUCAUAGUGUUAUUAAGUCUACGUUGGGGUUCUCGAGAGGGUGAAACAGAAGGAUCUGUUGGAAUACGAUGGGUACAAAUCAUAGGACUGAUUCCUGUAAGAUCUUGGAGUGAGUAGCCGAAUACUGAGUGAUGUUUCUCAAGAAUGGUCAUUAAUCGCAGAGUUUGAUCCUGAGUGAGUUUAUCGCUAAUGAUCACAGGGAACUCUGGAUUAUUGUUUAGGAAAGCAUAGGUAAGACCGGGUGGUAAAGUUUUAAGCUCUAUGGGGGGUCUAGGUGUUUCUGCAAACUCAUCUAAAGGUUCAGGCUCAGAAGGUUCGUCUUCUUCUUCUGUGAAGAAAGGAGUUUCGUCUUCUAAGUCUGGUUCAUCUAAAAGCUCUAGAGAUGCAGCCUUUACUUUCUCCAUAGGAUCAGGCAAAAGAUAUGACUCGGCCUUAUUGUUUAAGGAGUGUGAAAUUGUUAUUGGGAAUUUAAAGGUUUUUCCAAAAGAAAUGUGUAGCUUUCCAGUAUGACCUUCAUAAAGGAGUCUUCUAAAAGGUUGUCCUAUUAACAGGUCGAAAUCCCAUGUAUCAAAGAUAUAGAAGUUCAAAUGAACCAUGGAGCCUUCUACCGUAAGAGGUAGGACAUUAAUAAUUCCAAGACUGGGGACUAAUCGUCCCGAAGAUUCCUUUAUGACCUUUGUUGUGGGGGUUAAGACAAGAUUUUUAAAUAGUUUAAGUGCAAAAGAUUCAGACAUGAUGUUGAUCCCCACAACAGGAUUAUAGAGAGCAUUAAAUCGAUCAGAAUUAUAAGCACAGCGUAUAGUUAUAGAGGGUGUGUCCAAACGGAUCACAUCAGAGGAAAGCUCUGAUUCCUCCAACCAUUCGCUACUCAUUACUGAGAUAAGCUCUCUCAAUUGAUAUUCACUUGGUAAAUAAAUGCUAAACUGGCCGUUUUGGGGUUUGUCAAUAGAAUGGUAGUUUGAAAUAUUUCCAAAAUCGGCAAAAAGAUCGGAUUCUAUAUGAAGAAUUUCUUCCUCUUGUGGCACAGAACUUGGGAUAGCUAAAGUAGAUGAAGAAUUUGGCAGAGUGUCUACUUCGGCUUUGUAGGUUUCAUCAUGAAGGGUAUUAUCCAUCUCAGCUUCUAGGAUUCUAUCUAGGAUCACUCUAGCUUCAUCAGCAGGGAUGCGAAAGAAAGAACCUCUAGACAUUGUGUGUAGCAUUUGUUUGUGAUUUUUCUGAAGACCUCGAAAAAAGUGGAAUAAAAGAACAGGGUCUUCAAGAUUAAGGUUUGGACCAGAUUCUAAAAGAUCAGAAAAAUGUUUCCAGGAUUUCCCCAAAGUUUCAUUAUCUUUUUGUUUAAAAGAUAGGACUUCGAGUCAAAGGUCGGCUAUACGGUCAAGGGAAUAGAAAUCUAGACAAAAGUUGGCUCGUAAAACUCCCCAUUCACCUUGUUGUUGACUUCUGACUGUACCAUUGUCUAGCUUCUCCCCUUAAAGAAAAAGGAAAAAGCUUCCAACGUAAAGUUUUAUCAGAAAUGCCUUAAAUGCGAAGACAAUCACAUGUUUGCUCAAAAUCUCUAAUAUGAAGGUAAGGGUUUUCGUCUUCCUUUCCCGAAAAAGAUAGGUUUUGAAUCAUGGCAAUCAACCUAGAACUUAACUUAUACUGGGAUGUUUGGAUAGGCUGUGAUGAUUCCCAUGGUAAAAGGUCAGUUGCUAAAGGGAUUGCAGAUUCAUGGAUCGAUUUAGAAUUUUGGUUUUCCAUAAGGUAAGAGUAAAGAAAAAUAAAUAAAGAAUAUAAAAGAUAAGAAAAGAUAAAACUAUAGAUACAAGCUAAUAGUAAGACUCAGGUUAUCUCAGCAACCGUCUUUCUCCCCGGCAACGGCGCCAGAAAUGCUUGUUGAUAUUUGGGAACGCAAUAAGGAAUUGAUCCGCAAGCGCACGGAUAUCGGUGAGCACUUCACCCGGGAGGUUAUCCAGAGUAUCGUAUUUAUUUUUUUACCACUAGGAGAAAGAGUGCAUCUGACUAACCGGUCUAUUACUACUAACCUUUAGGCACAAAAAAUGUCUUUCGAUGUGAGUGAUAAAUAGAGAAGACUGCAACCGUAGUCUCCUUCUAACCUUGGUAAGGAUGAUCUACUGUUCUAAUGGGGAGGCUAACGGAAUCUAGACACCACAAAGGAUGUUCAACCCGCACCUAUAAACCCUAUCCUUCCUGCUAACGAGAUGUGAUCUGCAAAGGUAACUCAGAAUUGUCACGUUCCUCACUACUACCACGGUCCAGCUAGUCAGGGAAUAUCUAUGAGUACCCUAGCCUAAACACCACGUUUACGCCAGCAAUGAUUACUCUAAACUCUAUGCGAAGAGAUUAAAGUAAACUCAUAAACCAUAAGAACAAUAAAACAAGAACUUACUAGAAUUUAGAAGUCGAAUUACUGAAGAAUUCUAGGAGCAAGCUACAGGUUAGGAGAACUUGAUCCCGCAGGUACAAGCUUGGAGUAGACACCGACAGGCCAGGCUUCCUCCAAUCUACACCUCCACUCUAUCUCUCUCAAUCUAGUAGAAACUAGAAGAUCUAUUUCUACCUUACAUUGAUUGCUAAGCCUAAAAAGAAAUAUUAAUUAGAGAAGAAGUUUUCCUUUGAGGGCACCCCUCAGUCUCUAUGAUAAUUUCUUCAUGUCUUCUCCAAGGGCCAGGGGGGUCUCCUUAUAUAGUCCUCCCCUUCUAUGCGUUUUUGGUUCGAUAGACGAGGUGGUACUAUGUUUUUCUUGAUCCAAUAGGUCGGUGGAAUAUCCCGAGCGAAGAGAGUCCUGAUUGGCAUCCAGAGGGGGGCGGGCGCCUUGGGCCUGGCCCCUUUCGGCCUCCGUCUUCUUCCCGUGGCUACUGGAGUCUUCUAGAUGGUAGAAAAUUGCGCGGUGCGUUGAUAUCUCUAUGUAAUCCCGACAUGUGGGCCUUUCUUCCUUAUUUCCUGAUAACCCCCUACAGAAAUAGAUAAACAACAAAACUCGUGGAAUUCUGUCAGAUCAAACCCUAAUUCUAGGUGUUGUUUGCAUAUUGGUCUUUUCUCAUAUUUAUUUGAUAAUUAAAAUGGAUACUUAAGAACCGUCAACAGAAAGCAUGCAAAAGACUAACCCGGUCUUACCUACUACCCACAGGCUGCAAGACAAGAUAGUGAGAUAUGAGCGGUAUAGAGAGAACUCCUUUGUAAGUGUUCCUUUAACCUAUGGUAAGUGUGUGGUUAUUGUUCUGCUGACACCGUUUUUUGGACACGUACCCAGGAUCGGUAGAGUGUAGAUCGGCAACAAAGGGCAAUAGUAACUGGUCUGCAGGAAAGUUGCAGAUGAGGAUGGCUGCCGAUGAGGAGACAGUUGGAUAUGGCUGAGUCCAUGGGUGGUGAUGUGUUUAUGCCGAUGCCAGUAUUAACCGUUGCCGAUGGGGAGUUUGCCGAUGACGUGGAAGGAAGAUUUGGAGGUUGCCAGCUGAUCUAUGGCGGUAUCCCAGUUCGUCACGGCAGGAUAGUUUUAUGUUUUCCUUAGUUAUUUAAAUCGUUUUGUACACGGAUUCUGUUUAAAUUUGGAAUGCAAAUUCUGGUCGUGUCUGGUUGUAGCUUUAUGAGCAGGGUAGAAAUAUAAACCCAAGGGCCUUGUAAUGGAGACUUCUAUCAAUCAAUCAAAAACCAGUUUUUACUCAUAUUCCAGCAUCUACUUUUUCGACGACUUCGUCAUACUUUUUCCUCUUUAUUACGUGUUCUUAGGAAUUCGUCGACUUAAGCUCGGCGUGUUCUCAAGUUCCAUGUGAAUACCUCUUGGCCGUGGCAUCCGGGCGCAUUGCUGUUGUCGGGACCAAAGUAUUCGAGUUAUCACCUUUGCCGAUAGUAUGGUCAAAUCGGCUGGCACGCCUUAACGUUUAAAUUGGGUAUUAGCCCUUUGUGUUUGCAGAUCUAGCUUUUGCAUCAACACAUCUUCUGGCACGCCCGGUGGGACGGGAUUCAAGAUGAAGAUCAACAUGUCGACUUCUGAGUUUGAUCAGGAGAACAUCAUCCCCGUGACGGAAGCCAAUCUCAAAGAUGAGCAGAAGCAAGCUAUUGCUAAAGUCAUGGAGGAUUACAAGCAGCAAUGCCUGAGGUCCUUCAGCAUGAACAGGAGCGGCGAAGUGAUCCAGAAGGAUGCGUUGCCGAUGCCUCGGCAAGUUACUUUUGAAGCCAAUCCUGGUAAACUUCAAGAGAUGGUCGAUAGUGCUAUCAACCGUGUCUUGAUCAACCAAGCUGGCGUGCUAUCCAACACAGUUUUCAAUGCCGUGGCUAGAACUUUCAAGGAAGGACAAUUGCCACCAGAUUAUGUGGGCCCCUCUCAUCAUCAGCCAGGGUCACUGGUGGUCAUAGCUCCAUCGGCUGCUACAGCCGCUGCGGGUGCACAGACUACCGUUCCUCCAAGCAAGUUGGGAGUUACUAAUGCACAAUCUAUGCCGGUGACAACUAAUCCACCGACUUCAGAUGAGCAGAUUAAGCUCACUACAUAUCUAUUGGCAUCGGCAAUGUCAGGGCCAGUCCGUCCUCCUGACUGGUGGGGUUUUGGUAUGCCCCCGGAAUACUUGAAGACACCUGGCACAUCUCAGGCAACUGAUAUGAGAGGCAAGGCUCCUAUGGCAUGGGCACCUCCCAAUAUGCCGAUGAAUCAAAGUCCCCAGUAUACUACAACUACUACUGCAAGACCUUACACUGGGAAUUCUCAAGCUCCAACGUUUCAGAUGCCUAACGCAUCGGCAGACUCAAUGCUGAUGCAACAGAGAUUUAUGACUCAGCCAGCGUAUGUUAAUUCAAUGAUCAUGCCCAAUUACCAGUCAUCGGCAGGACCUUUGCCGAUGGGUGCUAAUAGUGGAUGGCUUGGGUAGCAAGUCUUUAUGCAAACGCCCUAGCAGAAUCAUCAGGCUACUGGAUUUCAGCAAGGUCAGAUCUACCCUAGGUUCCAGAAUCCGGGAAUGCCCAACCAGCCGAUAAAUCUUGGGCAGCAGGUCGGCGGACAGCAGAUUGGCGGGCAACAGUUCGGUGGUCAGCAGAUUGGGGGCCAAAUGAUUAAUCCAAUGUUCCAUGCAGAUCGCGCACCGCACCGACACGUGGAAGCUUACCAGUAGGUGCCAGAUCCGCAACCGCCUCAUCGGCAAGAUGCCGAUGCUUAUUGGGCCGAUAAGAUUGCUAAAGUAAUGAGGGAUCAAUUUGGGAUAAAGCCCAAAGUCAACACUUACUAUUAUCGGACACCGUAUCCUCCCGCAUAUGAUUUGAUCCCGCUUCCAAAUCAGUACAAGGUACCGGAUUUUACUAAGUUUUCUGGGCAGGAUGACACGUCAACCAUGGAGCACGUCAACAGUUUCAUCAUCCAGUGCGGAGAAGCUGCUAACAGGGACGAGUUAAGGGUUCGCUUAUUCUCGUCGUCAUUAUCCGGAUCGGCUUUUACUUGGCUUAUAUCAUUACCUCCCAACUCGGUGGUUACUUGGGCCGAUCUAGAGAAGCAAUUCCACAAAUACUUCUUUUCUGGAGUCCAUGAGAAGAAGCUCACCGAUUUGGUCAAAUUAAGGCAACGCAAUGAUGAAUCGGUUGAAAGUUUCGUGCAGAGGAUACGAGAAGUCAAGAACAAAUGCUAUAGCCUGGUUUUGGAUGAUCGGCAGCUAGCCGAUUUGGCUUUCUAGGGUUUAUUGCCACAUAUAAGGGACAAGUAUGCGUCUCAGGAGUUUGAAAGCUUAAGUCAUUUGUUGCAGAGGAUUUCUGAUCAAGAUAUCAAGCCUUUCGAACCCAAGAGAGCAUGGAAUAAAAAGGUAUCAUUUGUGGAUGAAGCGGCAAGCUCAGACUCUGAUGAAGAACCAGUCAUCGGCUUGGCAGAAUGGGUGAAAAAUAAAAAGCCGAUGUCUUGUCCUUUUGGACAUAAAGAACCAGAGAAGUUCACGUUUGACACCACUAAGGCCGAUAGGAUAUUUGACUUUCUACUUCAGGAAGGUCAGAUCAAGCUGUCACCUAGUCAUGUGAUCCCAUCGGCUGAAGAAUUAAAAAGGAUGAAAUAUUGCAAGUGGCAUAAUGCAACUUCUCACGACACUAAUGAGUGCAAGGUUUUCAGACAGCAACUGCAAUCGGCUAUAGAAUCUGGAAGAAUCAAAUUUGACAGUUCCAAGACCCAGAAGCCAAUGAAGAUUGAUCAACAUCCUUUCCCAACAAACAUGUUGGAUGCUAAGGGAAAGGCCAAGGUCUUGACGUCGGAAGCAGCUGAAAGAAGUGCAUCGGUGGAUCCUCAGCAUCACAUCACUACUGCCGAUGCCAAAGGGAAAGGCUUGAUCCAGGAGGGAGCUUACUCAGGAAGGCCUCCCCGAUCUGGUAUUGUGAUAACUCACAGGAGGCCUCGGGAGACUUGGCAGCAACGUGAAGAUCGGUAUCGGCGCCAGCAAGAGGAUUAUCGUCGGGAAGAGGAAAGACGCUGACAGGAGUGGAAUCGGCACAGGGAUCACUGGAAUUGCCCGUUCUUCAUUCAUUGUUGGGAGGAAGAUAUCAAACUUCCCACUGUCAGAGAUUGUCCUGAGUGCAACGGUUAUGACCGGUAUGACAGGUCCGAUCGGUACUAUCGUGAUAAUGAUCGGCGAUUUAAUGGCCCGAUUAAGGGGAGAGCAUCCGUUCAUGAUCGGCUGGGGGGCAGGCUCAGUGUGCACGACAGGCUUGGGGAUCGUGUUGAAUAUUUUCCCAGGAACCAGGAAGAACUUGAAGAAAUGGCUAAUGCACGGGUUCCCGAUGAGUUCAUAUUUUGCAGGGAUGCCAACACUUAUCGGAUGGAGUCGAGGGAAAAUCGUCGCCCAGCGGUAAGGCAGCAGCAACUUCCUCCAUGGUGUCCAGAGGGAUUGACCAGGACACAGAAAAGAAGGCUGCAGCGCGAAAGGCGAGAAGAGUCAAGCAAAGGGGAGAACUCUGGACAGUCUGGGGAUCAGCAACAACCAGAUCCUAAGGGGAAUGGUCCAUCGGCAGAUGUCAACAUGGUCUUUAUGUUGCCGAUGGAGUUCCUUGCGCCAUCCAGUGAUGACGAGUUGGAGUUCUCUGAUCAAAUAGCUCAGUUGGCUCUGGAUCCGAUGACAGCUAUCUUUGAAAAGCCUGCCAAUGAUGAAAGGCAACAUCUUAAGGCUCUGUUUGUCAAAGGAAGGGUUGAUGGUCAGCCGAUGACCAAGAUUUUAAUUGAUGGUGGGGCUGCUAUCAACAUCAUGCCGUAUGCAGUGUAUCAGAAGCUUGGAAAAGGAGAUCAAGACCUGACCAAGACCGAUAUGAUGCUCAAAGACUUCGAGGGCAAUGUGUCCCCAGUUAAAUGAGCUAUCUGCGUAGAAUUGACCAUCGGCAGCAAAACCUUGCCGACGACCUUCUUCGUGAUCAGUGGAAAAGGUGCCUACAAUCUGUUGCUAGGGAGAGAUUGGAUUCAUGCCAAUUGUCACAUCUCGUCUACAAUGCACCAGUGCUUGGUCUAGUGGGUAGGUGACAAGAUUGAAAUUGUUCCAGGAGACUCUUCAUAUGUUAUUGCAUCGGCGGAAGCAGACACCUAUGAAAGGACUAGGUGUAUUUCAGGAGAAGCUUGGGAAAAGGAUUUUCUCAAGGUUGCCGAUUAUGAAAUUCCACCGAUCCAAGCAGUCGGUUCUGAUGAGGGUUUUUAAUGGACAGGUUCGCCGAUGAUGGAAAGUUAGGCCAGGGGUUCACAUCGGCCGAUGAUUUGGUAGAAGUAGAUAUAGGUAGUGGUGAUAAACCUAGACCUACUUUUAUUAGUGCUAAGUUAAGUCCUGAGUGUAAGCAAUAGUUGACUGAUUUGUUAAAGGAAUAUAAAUAUUGCUUUGCUUGGGAUUAUACUGAGAUGCCUGGCUUGGACCGAUCGAUUGUUGAACAUCGGUUGCCUAUCAAGUCUGGAUUUCGGCCACAUCAGCAGCCAGCUCGCCGAUGUAAUCCUAAUAUUCUUCCUGACAUCAAGGCCGAAAUAACUAAACUUAUUGAAGCCAAAUUUAUUCGGCAGUGUCGGUAUGCCGAGUGGAUUUCCAAUGUUGUUCCGGUUUACAAGAAGAACGGGAAGCUUCGGGUCUGCAUUGAUUUCAGGAAUCUUAACAAAGCUACACCGAUGGAUGGCUACCCAAUGCCAGUUGCCGAUCUGCUAGUUGAUGCUGCGGCUGGGCAUCGGAUUAUUAGCUUUAUGGAUGGCAAUGUAGGAUAUAAUCAAAUAUUCAUGGCAGAAGAGGAUAUUCCAAAAACCGCAUUUAGAUGUCCUGGUCAUGUCGGGUUGUUUGAAUAGAUAGUCAUGACCUUUGUCUUAAAGAAUGCUGGUGCUACUUAUCAAAGGGCCAUGAAUUUUAUAUUUCAUGAGUUCAUCGGCAAGCUGGUGGAGAUUUAUAUUGAUGAUGUGGUGGUUAAGUCUGGAGACUUCACAAAGCAUCUUGCCGAUCUACGAAAGGUGUUGGAAUGCACAAGGAAGCAUGGUUUGAAAAUGAAUCCCAAUAACUGUGCAUUUGCUGUAUCGGCAGGGCAGUUUCUUGGAUUCAUGGUGCAUCAAAAGGGGAUUGAAAUUAGUCGAAGAUCUAUUGAAGCCAUCAGCAAAAUAGUUGCCCCUACCAACAAGACUGAACUCCAGUCCUUGAUCGGCAAGGUAAAUUUUAUCAGGAGAUUUAUAUCUAAUUUGUCUGGUAAAAUUCGUGCUUUCAGUCCUCUUCUUAAGUUAAAGGCCGAUCAAGAAUUUGUUUGGGGGAAAGAAUAACAGUUGGCUCUAGAUGAAAUCAAGAAUUAUUUAGUGAAUCCUCCAGUUUUAAUUCUACCUCAGCAAGGGAAGCCCUUCAGAUUGUAUUUGUCUACCGAUGGGAUGGUCAUCGGUUCGGCUUUAAUUCAAGAAUUUGAAGGGAAAGAGCGUGUGAUUUAUUACUUAAGCAGUAGGUUGAUUGAUGCUGAGACCAGGUAUUCGGCUAUUGAGAAACUAUGCUUGUGCUUAUAUUUCUCUUGUAUCAAGUUAAGGCACGACUUGCUAUCAGCCGAAUGCACUGUUAUUUGCAAAGAUGACGUGGUCCGGUACAUGCUGUCUAUGCCGAUGAUGAGUGGAAGGAUCGGUAAAUGGAUUUUGGCGCUGUCGGAAUUCGAUCUGCGUUACGAAUCAGCUAAGGCAGUUAAGGGAUAGAUUAUGGCCGAUUUUGUAACUCAACAUUGCGGUGCAGUGGAGGUUUUGGAAAUUGUACCUUGGACGCUCUUCUUUGACGGAUCCACAUGUGACAGGGGGGCAGGAAUCGACAUAGUAUUAAUUUCCCCUCGGGGAAGGAAGUAUGAGUUUUCCUUGCCGAUUGUUGCCACAUCAACGAAUAAUCAGGCUGAGUAUCAAGCUUUAAUAAAGGGAUUGGAGUUAUUAAGAGAAGUUCAUGCUGAUGCCGUUGAGGUCUUCGGGGAUUCUAUGCUAGUUAUAAAUCAAUUGGCUGGAAGCUAUGAAUGCCGAAGUGAAGUUCUCAUAACUUAUUACGAAAGGAGUAUGCAACUGUUAAAGGAAUUCAAAGAUUUCCGAUUAGAGCAUGUUCCUCGAUUGCAUAAUGAAGAGGCCAAUCGGUUGGCUCAGCAUGCCUCGGGAUAUCAGCCUAUGAUUAAUGCAAUAUCGGCAAUCAGUGCCGAUGAUUGGAGGAAAGAAAUCAUUGAUUAUUUAAAUGAUCCGUCUAAGAAAGUAGAAAGACGCGUUCGGUUUCAGGCCACCAAGUAUGUGCUCCUUGAAGAUGAAUUAUACUACCGAACUGUUGAUGGGAUUCUUCUCAGAUGUUUUGGUGAUGAAGAGGCUAAGAAUUUGAUGGGAGAGAUCCAUGAAAGAGUGUGUGGAGCACAUCAGUCGGCUUUUAAGAUGAAGUGGAUGAUUAGAAGAAAUGGGUAUUAUUGGCCGACUAUACUUUUUUUUGAAUAAUAGGUUUCCCCAGCUUUAUUACCAUAAAGCUAUAACAAGUUUUAUAGUUCACAGUGCUUUAAGAGUCCAAACAAAAGACAGCCAUAAGGCAAAGGCAAAACUCAGGCUAGAAACAGCCACCAAGGGUGUCAAGGUUGUCAGAAAUUUGGUAAUAUUCAAAGGGCGCCCGCAUCGGCUAUGAAUCCUAUCAUCAAGCCUUGGCCGUUACAAGGAUGGGCUAUUGACUUGAUCGGCCAGAUUUAUCCACCAUCCAGCAAAGGGCAUAAGUUUAUCUUGGUUGCCACUGAUUAUUUCACUAAGUGGGUUGAGGCUAUUCCUUUAAAGAAAGUUACAUCGGCCAAUAUGAUUGAUUUUGUAAAAGAGCAUAUUAUUUACCGAUUUGGGAUUCUCCAAACAAUUACUACCGAUCAGGGCACUAUGUUCACAUCAGGGGAGUUUGAUGAAUUCGCAAUCGGUAUGGGAAUUAAAGUGUUAAACUCUUCUCCCUACUAUGCUCAAGCUAAUGGGCAGGCCGAGGCAUCUAACAAAGGAAUUAUUAAGCUUAUUAAACGGAAGAUUGAAGAAAAUCCUAGAAGGUGGCACACGUUGUUAAAUGAAGCUUUAUGGUCAUACCAGACGGCUUGUUAUGGAUCGACCAAGGUUUCACCCUAUUAGUUGGUGUAUGGGCAUGAUGCAGUGUUACCUUGGGAAAUUAAGGCUGGGUCUAGGUGACUAUCUUUUCAAGAUCAGUUGGCUGCCGAUGAUUAUGCUACUUUGAUGACAGACGAGUUGGAUGAUCUAGCAGGGCAUCGGCUGAGGGCUUUGGUGAGUAUAGAAGAGAAUAAGAAGAGAGUUGCCAGAUGGUAUGAUAAGAAAGCAAAAACUAAGGAGUUUGCCAAUGGAGACUUAGUGUGGAAAUUAAUUCUACCGAUCGGGACUAAGAGUUCAAAAUUUGGGAAGUGGUCUCCCAAUUGGGAGGGUCCCUAUCGGAUAAGUCGAUCGGCUCCUGGUAACGGUUAUAUCUUAGAAACCCUCAAAGGGGUCGAGUUUCCCAGAGCAUUAAAUGGCAAUUAUCUGAAAAAGUACUACCCAAGUAUAUGGGUUGAUGCAUAAAAGUUUGAAUGCCGAUAACACUCCUAUCGGCUGGAUCAAAAUGUGUCUGGGGCCGGACUUAAUGUUUCAAGAGAUGCCGAUAACAGUCCUAUCGGCUAGACUACACGUCAGGAAAGAUGAAAAGCAGAGGGGCAAGGAUGUAUUGCCGAUGAAGGGCUCAUGUGUUCAACAGCGCCUGGAUCGCCGAUAUGGCGCGCAGACGAAUCUGGUUGGCUUCCUUUAUCUCCUUCACAUCGUCAUCGACAGAGCCUUCCACCAGCUUCAACUUCUUCUUCAGCAGCAGUGCCUUGCGACCAUGGACAUUUCGCUCUUUCUCAAGAAGCUUGAUUGUCUCUGGUAGUUGGCUUUCUUCCUGUCGGGCUUGGGACAGAGCAUCCUCUACUUGUUUGAGUUCUGCCAACAAAGUUUCUCUUCUCGCCGAUAGGUCAGAGAUUUUCUGCUUCAAUGCAUCUCCUGAGGACUGUAAGAUACCGAUGUUCUUGUGCUUCUCAUCGGCAAGGAGCUUCACCUUCAUCAUCUCCUCGGAGAGUUGGGAAUGAGCCGCUCUGUCGGCAAGGCGCUGGGCAGCUUUCUGGUACUGCAGCUGACGGCUCUCCAGAUGUGCAGCCUGGAAGAGGAUUUCUUCAGCAUCGGCAAGAAUUUGGCCUCUCAAGGUCUUGAAUAAAGCCUUGGCCGGAUCAGAGUCAUCAACUAGUUGGGCCGUGUCUUGAUGGAGGAGAACCGAUAGUUCUUCUAGCUUUGCCCUGAUCUCUGCCGAUGUAAUCCCAACUGCCCGGGAGGAACUUGCUUCCUCACCUUCAUCUUCGGAGAUAUCAAUGGCAAAGGAGAACAGGCUAUCGGGAGAGUCCUGUUCCUGAAAAAGAAAAUAAAGUGAGUCAUUCCAAGGUCAAGCAUCGGCAAAUAAUACUGGUGGAGGUUGGAUGGCUUACUUGCUUCAAGGCGAUCUCUCGCCUCUGACUGGAAGAUGCCGAUGGCAUUACGGGCUGAUCGGCCAGAGUUGUCGAUGGGACUAUGUCAGCUGAAAAUUGGCAGAAGGAAUUAUGAGAACACAAAAGUGGGAUUAUCGGCAAUGACUUCUUAAAGAUGUUACCUUGAGGAGGUGCAGUGCUUGUCUGGAUUGAGGAGACUACCGAUGCUAUGAUUAAACCUGCUGGAUCGGUAGUCUGUUCACUCACAUCAGCCGAUAUGUCUUUUGGCUGAGGUACUUCUGGUUGAGGCUCUUCUGGCUGGGGUUCUUCCACUUGUGGUGCUUCUUGCAGCGGAGGGGGAGAUGGUACUUGUUGCGUCUGGGCUUCUGGAGAAGGAGAAGAUUCCACUGGGAUUAGAGAUACUGGGGGAGGAGAAGGCGUUGCUACUCUUUGGCGCUUUGCUUGUGCUCUGGUGUUCUUGGCACCCUUUCUCUUCGGUUGACUGGAUUGGGGGGCAUCGGCACUUUUACUUCUAGUCUUUGCCGAUGCGCCGGUCUGCUGUACAGAGAAGAAAAUUUAUGAGUACAAGUGUGGCAGAAACUAGAAUCGGUAUGAAUUAAAAGGUUUUACGAUUACCUUGAAGGCCUGUGCUAAGGUGGAGGCGGCUACCGAUGGAGAUGUCUUGGUCCUUUUGGUGGUUACUUUCUUGAGACGCACACCUCGGUGCAUGAUGGCAGCUAGAGUGGGAGCAUUGUUGCUGAUUGAAGAGAUUGGACCUGAUGGGAACAAGUCAAUCGGCUUGCUGCUCGUGCUGACUGAUGGGGGAGUGUCGUCAACCUGCAACAUGACACAAAGGGUGAGUUACCGAUGAAAAUAAGGAUAAAAGGAUUAGGACAUCGGCUUAAGGGUACUUACAGUGUCAUCGGGGACUUUGUACUGAGGAUCGAUCAUGCCACGAUAUGUAAGGGCCGAUCUGCAGAACAAAUGCUCCUUCCACUCCUCCCACCACUGCUUGUAUGCCUGAGUAAUGAAGAGGGCUGGAACCCACUCUGACAAAUCUACAGCUGUAUCGGCACUCGGUGCUAGCUGGGCUACUCGGAUCCACUCGAGAAGGCUAGUGAUGGUUUCUCUGGGUUUUGUUACAUCGGCAUAACAGAGUGCAAUCGGCAGGUGGCCGAAAGCUAGUUGACGGGCUAGUGCCGAUGGGUUGUAGAACUCGUAGGUUUGGUUGGAGGUUUUCCCACUACCAAAGAAAUUUACUGGUAUGGCUCUGGGGGUGAUCAGUGCCAUCAUUACUUCGUGAUCCUUGUUGAGAGCAUCGUUAAACGGAUGGAAGACCAAGGGAAACAUAGUAUCUGGAUCUUCAAAAGGCAUCCAUGCUCGCUGUUCUCCGGUCAGGCCUUCAUACAGGGUUUGAAAGAAUCGGCUGACUUGAUCUGCAUUGCCUCUGUACCGGGCAGAACUAUGGCAGCCUCGCCAAAGUUUAGAGGAGGGCGAGUUGCCGAUUCUUCUUCUUCUAGUUCAUAGUCCUCGGCUAUGUCCCUUGGAUAACGCUGUGCAAAAAGGUCAAACUCAAGACGCUUGUGCAUGUGGAGGCUGAGCCACAUGUUGAUGAACCACCAGGGACCUCCGAAGUUGCCGAUAGGCUGGCCCAGUAGGAGUUUCCUGGUCACUUGGUGAAGGAGGUGGCAGGCUGCACCAAGCAGGUAUCGGCCGAGGGGAAAUCGGCCACCAUUAGCCAAAUUUUCUGCUGCUGCUAGGUAGACGGAAGUUGGUCCUGCCAAUCGGCCACAAAACACGAAUUUAUCUAACCACAUGUUCAGGAAGCUGGUCUGCUCCUUUAUGUGGAUAGGACCUGUUCGUCUGUAUUUUUGGAUGUACCCUGACCAACCGCCGAUGGCGCGAGUUUCUACCUUAGCACUGGGUUUGGUAUCGAAAAAAUGAUUGCUAUCGGCAGAAGAUACAUCUAGGCCAGUGAGCAUAACUACAUCGGCAAGUGUAGGGGAAGCAGGGCCAUGGCCAAAGACGAAGGCAUUGAGCGUGUCUGACCAGAAGUAUGAUGCAGCUAUCAGCAGUGACUCAUUCCUAUGCAUAUCGGCAAUGGACAACCUGAUGCAUUGGUCUAGUUUUCUCUCACCCCGCUGGACUUCAUUUGAGUGGCUGACCCUCAAGAACCAAUCCUUCCAUCCCACGGUAGGACUGGGCCAGGAACGGAAGGUAUCCUUCCACAGAUCCAGAGAAAAAUUCUCGGCUCUAAACGGGAUUCUAUUUGUUUCUGCGUUAAUGAGGUCGGUUGGAUCUGGAUUCCCUAACGGACCAAGACAUUGGAGGUGUGGUUGAUUGGUGGGGAUGACAAUUUUGUUGGACAGAUCCUAAUGGUUUUGGGUAUAAAAAGAAGAACAAAAGAAGAAAAAGAGGGAUAUUCAGUGAAAUAAAUCGCGAAUAAACAUGGAUGUGGUAAAGGUACAAGAAAUAGGAUGAAGAACUAACCUCGAGAACGGUGAAGUUGAUGGCCAUCUCCUCACAGAAAGGGUGAUCGAAGGCUUUGGGGUUGGUGGAGGAAGGGCUUCGUUGGAGUUCUUGGAGCUCUCGAACUGCGCCGCCGCCAGGAAGGUGGAGUUGGAACUGUGGAAUGAUGCGAUGGAGAAGGAGUACCCGAGAAGGAACUAUUUAUAAGACAAAAUGGGCAAGGGUAAAUCUGACUUAUCACUUCGCCGUAUCCGCGAAAUCCGAGGAUACUCAGGAAGAUAUGGUAACUGUUCGCACGGUAAUCAAGGGAUUGCGCAGGUGAUUUGACAGGAAGCGGUCGUGAUCUGGAGAUAUUUUACUGUGCGAGAUUUCCUGGUCGGUCCAUCGGCAGUGUCUUGUAACGGUCAUAUUGCCGACGGACAGAUAAAGUGGGAAUAUCCGUUGGGGAGGAUAAGAUACUUUACUGAACAGAACGUCCUGGUCAGUCCAUUGGCAGGUUUUUGUAACGGCAACAUUGCCGAUGCGCGACUAAAGUGGAAAUGUCUGUUUGGGAGGUUGAGGAUUUCGAGGGAUCUGUGGAAGAAUCAAACCAGGGUUGUUUGGAUUAAAGCUGUCGGUUACCAGAUUAGGAGAAUUAAUUGCGGAAAGGCAUCAUUACUGCAGAGAAUUUCAGAGCAUGAAUGAUUUCAUACUCCGAAAUUGGGGGGCAUGUGUUGACACCAUUUUUUGGACACGUACCCAGGAUCGGUAGAGUGUAGAUCGGCAACAAAGGGCAAUAGUAAUUGGUCUGUAGGAGAGUUGCCGAUGAGGAUGGCUGCCGAUGAGGAGACAGUUGGAUAUGGCUGAGUCCAUGGGUGGUGAUGUGUUUAUGCCGAUGCUAGUAUUAACCGUUGCCGAUGGGGAGUUUGCCGUUGACGUGGAAGGAAGAUUUGGAGGUUGCCAGCUGAUCUAUGGCGGUAUCCCAGUUUGUCACGGCAGGAUAGUUUUAUGUUUUCCUUAGUUAUUUAAAUCGUUUUGUACACAGAUUCUGUUUAAAUUUGGAAUUCGAAUUCUGGUCGUGUCUGGUUGUAGCUUUAUGAGCAGGGUAUAAAUGUAGACCCAAGGGCCUUGUAAUGGAGACAUCUAUCAAUCAAUCAAAUACCAGUUUUUACUCAUAUUCCAGCAUCUACUUUUUCGACGACUUCGUCAUACUUUUUCCUCUUUAUUACGAGUUCUUAGGAAUUCGUCGACUUAAGCUCGGCGUGUUCUCAAGUUCCGCAUGAAUACCUCUUGGCCGUGGCAUCCGGGCGCAUCGCUGUUGUCGGGACCAAAGUAUUCGAGUUAUCACCUUUGCCGAUAGUAAGGUCAAAUCAGCUGGCACGCCAUAACGUUUAAAUCGGGUAUUAGCCCUUUGUGUUUGCAGAUCUAGCUUUUGCAUCAACAGGUUCUAAGGGGGUACCUAGAGAAAAGGGACACCUCAGAGAGUGCUUAACCCUGGCUACCAAAAAUCCAGCUAGAUAGAGAGUAUCUACGAGUAUUCCUAGGCGAAGCACCAUGCUUACGCUAUGAAUGGCUACUCUAUUCCCUACGUGAAGCGAAUAAAGUAAACUCGUAAAUCAGUGAACAAUAAGAAUAAUAACUUACUAGUAUUAGAAGUCAAAUUGCCGAAUGAUUCUAGAACUAAGCCUCGGGUUAGGAGACUUGAUCCUGCAGAUACAAAGAAGACACCGGCAGGCUGGGCUUCCUCCACUUCUAUCUCCACCGUAUACUCUCUCAAUCUCUCUUGUUGCGAUAACCAUAAAAAGACACUUCCAUCCGAGCUAAUUCUCUCUAGAAAAAUAUGAAUUAGGGUUUCUAAAUUAGCUCCUCCCUAGUGGGGUCAGGGUUGUAUGUAUGGCCCCCUAGGAAGCACCACAACCCUCAGAUCAAACCGACCUUAAUGGCUGGCCAAGAUUACUCCUCAAAGGCGAUGGAGGAAGGAUCCGCGAGGUGGAACCUAAUUGGUUCAUACCCUGAGGUGGUCGCCCCUGACAGGUGCGGCUCCCGCCCCUGGCAUGUGUCAGGUGGGCCCCAGCUUGCACGUGGUGGCUCCUUGAGUCUUCUACAUUGUUCCUGAGUGGUAGUUUGCAUGUUCUCUCUACGUCAAUCUGACAUGUAGACCAUCUUUGGUUAUUUCCAGUUGACACCCUAUAGAAAUAGAUAUUCACCAAAACUCGUGGAAUUCUGUUAGUGAUAACCCUGUAUCUACUAAGCGCUUGCAAAUAGGUCCAUUUUCAUGUUUAGUUAACGGUUAAAAUUAGGAGUUAUCUACCAUCAACAAACUCCCCCACACUUGUCUUUCACUUGUCCUCGAGGAAAAGGGAUAGAUUACUUUAAACAUAACCUCGAACCAAGACAUCACCAGUAGAUUUAUUCCAAGUCUUACCUGUAAUACGGGAUUCAAAGUGUCUACCAUAAAACUUUGAGAAGUUGAGGAUGGAAUAGUAUGAAAUAGAGUUCUCUUUUCCUUCAGCCCUAUUACUUGGAGUUUUUAUAAUAUUUUGCAAAAAAAACUUAGCUUAGCCUUCUCCAUCAUGUAGCACACACUCAUUAUAAGUAGUGUUUGUGGAACUCACUAAGACAUGUAUGACACAUUCCUCAUAUGUAUCCUAUUCUAUACAGGCUUAUAUGGAGUUGAAGGUAAUUCAAGAAAGAUAGCAUACUUACCUUGUAUAUAUUGCUAAGUCAAAACUCAGAUACAUGGACGGGAAUACCAUACUCUUAGAUCAAGAAGUGCAGGUGUGUGGAAUAUAUAGUGGCUAAUCCUCAUUCUACUUUGCUCUUUUGAUAAAUGUCUUUCUUCCUCUAAAGAACUGAUGGUCUUUGCAAAGGAUGGUAUGGGCUAUCUCUUUGUUUCAUUCUUUCUUUUUCUUUCUUGGACACUUGUCCAUUUUUUCAUUAAUUUUAUUUUGCAUAGACACAUACCUCCCUUCUGUAACCAGGAAAUAAUGAGGAAGACUUUUUAAAGAACUUAGAGCAAUUAUUCCUACUAAGAUUUUUUUGUGUUUUCUCCUAGUGUAGGAGUAAAACAUUUUUUUUGUGGAUGAAAAGGCAUGUUUGUGCGCAUUCCCAGUGUAGGAACAACAGAUAUAUGUGGGUGUACGUGAUCUUGAUCUUAGAAGGAUGAUAAUCCUCUUGACAUAGUUCAACAAAGUUUGACCAAACUCAAUACAAAACAAGUAGCUUAUGAGCUAGUUUUUAGUAUGUGCAUCAUGCAUGGCUCUAGUUGGAUAUUAAUUCUUACUAUAGAUGAGAAGUGUACCUAAUAAUUUUAAAUUUUUUGAAAUGAUAUUAUCCAAAUGACUAGACAUUAGAAAUCAAGUAUUCGUAAUUCAUACUAUCUCUCUUUCCACAACGACUUAAGUGAUAUGGGGUCCCUAUAUUAAAGUUCCCAACAGCAAUAGGAAUUUCUAGGAAUUAUCAUCUCGUGAGUCUACCUUGUGGUCAUGAUUAAAAUAUCUUCUCAAUAUUAAUGUAUAGGGUGGUUUAAUCCAAGAUAUUUCAUUGUGAAUCGAAACAGCCGUGAUAAUAAAAAUUUGUAACAUAAAGAAAUCAAACCUAACUGUCAUUUGAAACAGGAACCAGAUGGCCACCCCCCUUGGGCAGGUGCCCAAGGUUGCUAGGCGACCGCCCCUAGCAAGUGGCCCCUCGGGGUCAUCUUUGCCAAGCGCGGUCUUCGUGUCAUAUAUUCUCCAAUAUUUUUAUUGUUGUGCGAGAAUUCAUUCGUUUCGAUCGUUGGUGUCUCCUCCACACUUGUUUCCUAUUAUCCUUCAUUCACAACAUGAUGGAGACAAAAGAGACAAGACAAAUGCAAAUUUAAAAUUAAACAAACUUUAAUCUAACUCACACUCGUCCUAUCAAUGCAAAGCUAUUGUUCAUUGAUAGGAACAAUAGCUUUGUAGAAGGGUUCUUCUAUGGGGAUGGUGUUGAGAUCGAUCCCAUAGAAAAUCAUUCUCCUCUCUAAAUUUUCUUUAACCAUGGCUUAGUAGAGAGGCAUAGCAAGCUUCUAAGCAAGAGGAGAGAAAAGCUAUGAUGGGAUGAGAUUAAACCAUAGGCAUGUAUUGCUUAUAUAGAGGUCUGAAAAGGUAUUCUCAGAAGGUAACAUGAUGAAAAAUGGAAAUCAUCUCCAAAAUACACUUUUUAUAAACAUAGAAGGUCUAAGGAUGGUAACGGAGAAAGGUGGCGGCGAAUGGCCUCGGUGCCCGGGCAAGCGCCCCUAGGGUUUGGGCGGCCGCCUGCUCUUCGAACCCAUUCCAACUCAACUUUUUCGUAUACUUUAUUAGUUACCUUUUUAUUCGAAAAAAGUUGAUUUUCCCCAAAGAAUCAAACAUAAAAUGGUUGGGCUCAAUUAUUCUAAUUGAGAAAGAAAGUAAUUAUAUCUGCUUCCUCUAAUUCAUUAUUGCGCUCUAAAAAUAAUUUAAAGGCGUUGACCAUUUACCUUGAAUAACGUACCUUCAUUGUUGCGAACUGUGACGGCUCCAUGUGACGAUGAGCUUACCUCCUUGAAUGGUUACUUCGGAGUUUUCCAUGCCUGAAGAGCUUCACCCUGGAAUUAAAAAGUAAUACCUUAUCGCCUGGGAUGAACUCCUUGAUUCUUUUGUCAUGCCAUCUUUUUACUCUCUCUUUAUAGAUCUUGGCAUUGUGAUAUGCUUUUCUCUCCAUUCUUCUAACUCAAAGAGUUGCAUCUUCCACUUCUCUCUAGCUGCUUCUAGCUGUCCAUGUUCCAUCUUUUGAUGGCCUAGUGAGCUUUGAAUUCUAGCUCUACUGGUAAGUGACAAGUCUUCCCAUAGACUAGCUGAUAUGGAGACAUCACGAUGAGUGUCUUGUAUGCUGUCCGGUAUGCCCAGAGUGCAUCAUGAAGCUUGUCCUUCCAUGCUAUCCCCAUCUCAUUUACUGUCUUCUGUAGAAUAUUCUUAAUUUGCUUGUUUGAUGUUUUUGCUUGACCACUUGUCUGAGGAUGGUAAGGAGUAGCGACGUUGUGACGUAUCUCAUUCUUCAAAAAGUAUUGUUCGAAGCACUUGUCAAUGAAGUGAGAACCUCCGUCACUUAUUCCUAUCUUUGAAACUCCAAAUAUUGGAAAGAAUAUUUCUUUGAACAUCUUCCUUGAAUGCAUGCUAUCAGCAUUCCGACAUGGCAUGACUUUGACCUAUUUGGAGACAUAAUCCACUGCCACCAGGAUAUACUCAUACUUCUUUGAUGGUGGAAAUGGCCCCAUGUAAUAAAUCCCCUAAACAUCAAAGAGCUAAAUCUAGAGAUUGUUGAUGAGUGGCAUGGCAUCCCUUGAAUUGAUAUUACCGUGUCUUUGGCAUGGGCCACAUCUUUGCAUCAAUUCUCUUGUGUCUUCAUACAUUGUUGGCCAAAAUAAUCCAGACUGCCAUAUCUUUGCAUGUGUUGGAAUGCCCCAUAAUGCCCCCAUAUGGUGAUGAAUGACAUCUUUCAAUUAUUUUGAUUCUUUCUUCAGCUGGCGCACAUCUUCUGAGUAAGCCAACAAAGUAUACUCGAAAGAGAUAUGGUUCAUCUCAUAUGUUAGAAUGGCUCUCCUGGACUAGCUUCGUUUUGUUGACUCCUGGUGGUACAAUAAUCAUGAAAUUAACAAUAUCUACAUACUAGGGGUCAGAUCUGUUGAUUCCGUAGAGCAUGUCGUCCCGGAGCAAGUCAUCGAUGGGUAGUUCCUGUGGGUUCUCAAAUUACAUUCUAGACAAAUGAUUGGCAAAAGAAUUUUAUACUCCCUUUUUAUCUUUUAUUUCUAAGUCAAAUUUCUGGAGUAAAAAGUUCCAUCUUAUUAAAUGAGGUUUAGCAUCUUUCUUAGUGAGCCAAUAUUUUAAAGCAGCAUGAUCAGAAUAAACAAAUACUUUUACUCCCACUAAGUAAGAUCUAAACUUAUCAAUUGCAAAAACAAUAGCUAGGAGCUCUUUUUUAGUAGUAGCAUAAUUAAGUUGAGGUCCUGUCAGAGUUUUGCAAGCAUAAGCUAUGCAUGGUGCUUUUUAUCCUUAGUUUAUCCUAAUACUACCCCCCACAGCAUAAUCACUAGCAUCACACAUAAUUUCAAAAGGUAAAGACCAAUUAGGGGGUUGAAUGAUUGGUGCUGAGAUGAGGGCUUUCUUAAGAAAUUCAAAAGCUUGUAAACAUGCAUCAUCAAAUUCAAAAGGAAUAUCCUUGGCCAAUAAGCGAGUAAGAGGUAUAGCAAUGAAUAAAAAAUAUUUUAUAAACCUACGAUAAAAACCAGCAUGGCCAAGGAAGCUUCUAAUUCCUUCUAUAUUAUUAGGAAGAGGUAAAUGUUCAAUUACUUCUAUUUUAGCUUUAUCUGCCUCAAUGCCCCUUUCAGACACUAAGUGUCCUAGCACUAUUCCUUCUCUAACCAUGAAAUGACAUUUUUUCUAAUUAAGGACUAAGUGCUUUUCUUCGCACCUUUGCGAAACCUUAUCUAUGUUUUCUAGACAAUCAUCAAAGGUUUUUCCAUGAACAGAAAAAUCGCUCUAGCGUCUCAUCAAUGAAAGGCAAUGGAAAGUGAUCUUUCUUAGUUGCCUUAUUUAGCUUUCUAUAGUCUAUGCACAUCCGCCAUUUUGUGACGGUUCGUUGAGGGAUUAACUCAUUCCUCUCAUUUUGGACAACAAUCAUACCUCCCUUUUUAGGUACAACUUGAAUAGGGCUUACCCACUCACUAUGCAGCACAACAUAAAUUAUGCCUGCAUGCAAUAGUUUCAACACUUCUUUCUUUACAACCUCUCUCAUCGCAUUGUUGAGUCUACUUGGGGUUCUCUGGAUGAUAGAAUAUUAGGAUCUGUAGGAAUGCAAUGGGUGCAAAGAGUAGGACUAAUGCCCUUGAGGUCCUGGAGUGAGUAGACAAAGGCUGACUGAUGUUUUUCUAGGAUAGCCAUGAGACGAAGAGUCUAUUCCUAAGUGAACUUAUCACUUAUAAUGACAGGAGACUCUGGAUAAUCAUCUAGAAAAGCAUAUCUAAGACCGGAUGGUAAAGGUUUAAGAUCAAUAUGAGAUUUAGGUGGGACUACAAACUCAUCUAAAGGUUCUUCCUUAGAAGGGUUAGCUUCUUCUUCUAUCAAGAAUAUAGCUUCAUCUUCCAAUCCAAGUUUUGGCUAAACAGUCUAAAGAUGUAGCGCUAAAUUCUUCCAAUGGAUCAUAGUGUCGAAAAGGUUUGGUCCUAGAGUUUAAAGAGUGUAAAAUGGAUAGCGGGAAGUGAAGUUUCUUGCCUAAACAAAUCUUUAGCUUCCUAGAUUGUCCUUCAUAGAGAAGUCAUCUAAAAGGUUGUCCUAUCAAUAGGUUGAAAUCUCAUGUGUUGAAGACAUAAAAGCUUAAAUGUAUUGGGGUUCCUUCUAACUGAAUGGGUAGGAUUGUAGGAUUCCAAAACUGGGAAUAAUAUGUCCCGAGGGACUUCUAAUGAAGUUUAUUGUGGGGUUAAUGUCAUGUCUGGUAAUAAAAUUUCUACAAGAGACAUAGACAUGAUAUUUAUUCCCACAAUUGGAUUAUAGAGACCAUCUAUUUGAUCUACAUUGAUUAUGCAACGAAUUGGAAUAGAAGUUGAAUCCAAAUGGAUUACUUCAGAGGAAAGCUUUGAUUCUUCUAACCAUUCAUUACUUGUGACAGAUACUUAUUCUCCUAAGGUUCUUCUAGAGGGAAUGUCCUCAAAGGGUAUUAAAAGACUCUCUAAGAUUUCUCUGUGGCCUUUUCAUAGAGUGAUAAUUCAAAACGUUUCCAAAAUCACAAAAAGAGAUCUGGUUUGCCUAAAGCUACUUGGAAAUAGUUUGUGCCCCAAAGGAUGAGGGGGGCCUAGGUGUCAUCAACAUUGAGAAAUAGAAUAAAGCCCUCCUCUCAAAAAAUCUGCAUAAAUUUUUCAACAGGGCUGAUGUUCCUUGGGUUGAGCUAAUCUAGGAAAAGCAUUAUAGAAAUGGAAAAUUGCCAAAUCACAUAAGAAAGGGGACUUUCUGGUGGAGAGAUAACCUCAAGCUCCUCCAAGCCCUUAAAAUGUUUUCUAAGCCGCACCUUCAUUGUGGGGAUUCUUCUCUUUUCUGGCAUGAUGCUUGGCAUGAGCAACCCCUUGUUGAUUCGUCCCCUGAGCUCUUCUCCUUUGCCCUCAAUAAGCAGAUGAACUCUCCUCCCUCUUUCAGCUCCCCCUCUCUCAGACGGCCUUCAUGCAAUUGCAGAAUGUUCAACAGAUCAUAGAGAGUAUUGUGCUGAGCAAUGACAAAGAUAAGUGGAUUUACAGUUGGGGCUAUGACUGGUUUGCUUCCUCAAAGGUCUAUCGCCUUCUGGUUGGCCACUCAGUACUUCACCGGGUCUACAAAUGGCUUUGGAAAAGUAAUUGCCAGCCAAAGCACAAUGUCUUCUUUUGGCUUAUCAUUAAGGACAGACUAAGCACCAGACACAUUCUCAGAAGGAGAAAUUUGCAGCUUCAUUCUUAUAAUUGUGUCUUUUAUAACCGCCUGACAGAGGAACCGCUUGAGCACCUGUUUCUGGACUGUCCAUUCAUGGCUAUGAGUUGGGGCGUCAUCAAUGUGAUCAUUCCUCUUUAGAGUUCUAUACCAGACAUCUUUGCUCAAAAUAAAAGAUCAGUUGGCCUCCCCAUUUGCCAUGGAUGCUAUCAUCCUACUUUCCUGGGCAAUUUGGAAUGUGAUAAAUGAGUUAAUCUUCAAUGGAGUUCAGAUAAUCAUUUUGAAUUGUCGAAUGAUCUUCCUGAAAGCAGAGUGAAGUCAUCCAUCUUAUCAUAGUUUCUUCAUGGAUACAAAGUUUGGAAGUACAAGAUGUUUAGAGUUGAUCUUCUUUAUUUCUUUUUUGUCUUCUGAACUAUAGGGUGCCGGCACCUUGUUGCUGUUUUUUAUUUCACCUUGUACUUUGUUGACUUGUUCUUUCGGUUUUACUAAAGCUCUUUGUAGAGGCCUCGGCCUCUCUAGUUUCUUCAAAAAAAGAUAGAAAAAUCCCCUCUUGGCCCCGGAACAUCUCCACACUACAUGUCAUGUGGGGUCGCGUCUAUACGCGUAGCACGCAGGCACGGGAUGUGCGUCGCGCAUGCGAGCGCACAGAGCGCGGUCCCGGGCAUGAGCCGCGUGGGCCAACGCGCGACGCCCUCGGUGGCACUCAGGAGGAGCCAACCAAAAGUGGCUAAAUAUAGGAAGGAUAUUUCUAGUUUCUAUUUACUGUUAUUUGUUCCUUUAUUUGAGGGGAUUUGUUACCCCUGUUAGUUGGGGCUACGGCCUUAUAUUAUUGUAACUGUGAACAAUGAGGACUAAGCAAGAUAAUUAUCCUAUCUAUCUAUCUAAACCCUAAGCCUGCGGUAGAGGGGCAUAACCUCACCGGAGAAGACGGUCGACGGCUACAAGCUCCGUAGCCAAGGCCCUGCACGUCAGGGGCUCGACGCCCUUGACAACCUGGUAUCACAAGUCAGCCAUUCCUCUCACGCCCAUUCUGAGCCAUCUACUUCUGCCGCACCAGACAACCACCACCAGCCGCCGCCACCAUCUACCUCUGCAGCACCCACCCCGCCACCUACCAUGACCGAGCCGACCAUCACUGAUCUCCUCAAUGAGCUCAAGAACAUGUCGGCCGAGAUCACAGCGCUGAAGACCGACAUGGCCUCCAUCAAGGAGAAGGCCUCGACGGACGAGAGUAGCGAGGGCCGCCGUUCUGAAGGGCCGCGUGAGCUGGACUUCCACCCGAAGCAUAAGAAGUGGGAUUUUCCCCACUUCGACGGCACGACCGACCCGAUGUUGUUCCUCAACAAGUGCGAGGCCUACUUCCAACAACAUUGCACCAUGGCGGAGGAGCGAGUGUGCAUGGCGUCCUACCAUCUGGACGACGCCGCACAUUUGUGGUUCCUCCAACUACCAAAUGAUGAAGGCACGCCGACAUGGGGUAAUUUCAAGGAUCUCCUAAAUUUGCGGUUCGGCCCACCCCUCCAUUCCACCUCGAUGUUCGAGCUUGCGGGGUGCCGCCAUAAGGGAACCAUGGAGGAGUAUGCUAACCGGUUCUAGGCCAUCCUACCUCGUGCUGGCAGACUCAACGAGGUGCAGCGGGUUUAGCUAUUCACUAGCGGGCUCCGACCACCACUCAGCAACACCGUCCGCCUCCAUAACCCAGACUCCCUCGCCACCGCCAUAAGCUUGGCUUGCUAGGUCGAGUUAAUGGAAUUGGAGCUCCAGGCGCCUAUCCCACCGAGGGCGCCCCAGCGUGGUCCGCCGGCUCCCGCGGCCCGGGCCGCCCUGCCACCCCCACCGCCUCUCUUGGCACUACCGGUGCCGCCUAUGGCUGCACAGCAAGGCCACGCCGAAGGCAACCAGCGCCCCCUUACUCCCAAGGAGAUGACCGAGCGAUGACGCCAAGGGCUGUGCUUCAACUGCAAUGAGAAGUACUCCCACAGCAACAAUAGAUUCUGCAGGCGUCUGUUCUUCCUCGACGGCGUGGAGAUCGACGACGCAGCAGAUGAGGGAGCCGCUGCCACUGGGGACGCCGUGGCGCAGGAGGCGCCGAUCUUCUCCCUGCACGCCGUGGCUGGCGUGUCCAUGGGUAGGACCAUGCAGGUCUGCGUCUUGGUGGGCUCAACCCCACUCAUUGCCCUCCUCGACACAGGCUCCACCCACAACUUCAUCAUCGAGACAGCAGCAACGCGGUCCGGUGUGCCCAUCCAAUCCCAGCCACGCCACACGGCCAUGGUGGCCAAUGGCGAGAAGGUGCCGUGCCCAGGAGUCAUCAGGCACGCACUGAUUGUGAUCCACGACUCCGCUUUCGCUGUCGACCUCUUUGUUAUGCCCCUUACAGGACACGACCUGGUGCUGGGGACGUAGUGGAUGGCCACGCUCGGCCGCUUGGUGUGGGACUUCGUCAAUGGCCCGGUCUCCUUCAAGCGUCAGGGCAGCACCGUCCGCUGGCCCGGGGUGGCGUCCAUGAGUACACUGGAGACCUAGGCCACAACGUCCAGCGCGCCUCUCCUCAACGAACUGCUAACGGAGUUCGCCGACAUCUUCGCCGAGCCCCACGGCAUUCCUCCCCAGCGUGCCUGCGACCACUCCAUCAACCUCAAGGCCGGCGUGCAACCAGUGGCAGUCCGGCCCUACCGGUACCCUACCGCCGACAAGGACGAAUUGGAGAGGCAGUGUGCUGCCAUGCUGCAGCAAGGCAUUAUUCAGUGUAGCGACUCCGCCUUCUCGUCCCCGGUGCGCCUUGUCAAGAAGGCGGACGGCAGGUGGCGUUUUUGCAUCGACUACAGGGCGUUGAAUGCCCUCACCAUCAAGGACGCCUUCCUGAUCCCCGUUAUCGACGAGUUGCUGGACGAUCUACACGGCGCCUACUUCUUCACCAAGCUCGACUUGCGGUCGGGAUAUCAUCAAGUACGUAUGUUGUCCGCCGAUGUCCACAAGACGACAUUUCACACGCACGAUGGACUCUAUGAGUUCCUUGUCAUGCCCUUCGGUGUCUGCAAUGCCCCGGCAACAUUCCAGGCGUUAAUGAACGAUGUUCUCCGGCCAUUCCUUCGACAGUUUCUGCUUAUCAUUUUUGACAACAUCCUUAUUUACAGCGGGACAUGGGCAGAUCACAUUCGCCACCUUUGUGCUGUCUUCUCCGAGCUGCGGCAUCAUCCGCUUUUCAUCAAGCACAGGAAGUGUGCUUUCGGCGAGGCCACGGUGUCCUAUCUGGGCCACGUGAUCUCCGCGGAGGGGGUCUCCAUGGAACCGAGGAAGGUGCAGGCCAUCCGUGACUGACCUGCCCCUCGGUCGGCCCACCAGUGCGCGGCUUCCUCGGCCUCGCGGGGUACUACAGCUACUUCAUCGUCAACUACGGUGCGGUCGCCGCCCCACUCACUGCGCUCCUCAAGAAGGAUGGCUUCGCCUAGACCAACACUCUCAAGGCCGCGGUCACGUCGGCCCCCGUCCUCGCAUUUUGGACUUCACCAAGCCCUUUACGGUGGAGUGCGACGCAUCGACCCAUGGCUUUGGAGCUGUCCUCAUCCAGGAGGGGCAUCCCAUUGCUUUCUUCAGCAGACCGCUCACACCUCACCACCGCGCUCUCGCCGCAUACGAGCGGGAGCUCAUCGGCCUCGUCCACGUAGUACACCACCGGCGGCCGUACCUGUGGGGGCGUCGCUUCCUUGUGAAGACAGACCACUACAGCCUCAAAUACCUGCUUGACCAGAGGCUCUCGACGAUCCCACAACACCAUUGGGUGGGCAAGCUCCUUGGGUUCGAUUUCUUUGUCGAGUACAAGCCGGGCGCGACGAACACGGUCGGCGACGCCCUGUACCGCCGUGACACAGAGGAGGAGACGGUAGGCGCGGUGUUGGCCCUCUCGACCCCCCGUUUCGACUUCAUCACGCGUCUUCGCCAGGCCAGCGAGGGGGACCCGACCAUGGUUGCCCUUCGGGCGGAAAUCCACAGCGGCACCCGCGGUGCGCCGUGGUCUGUGGUGGACAACAUGGUGUAGUACAGCGGCCACCUCUACAUACCGCCAGGCUCGCCGUUGCUGCACGAGCUUGUGCUGGCGGUGCACGAAGACGGACAUGAGGGCGUCCAGUGCACUCUCCACCGACUCCACCGCGACUUCCAUUUUCCUAACAUGAAACAAGUUAUGCAGGAGCUCAUUCGGGUCUGCAUUGUCUGCCAGCGGUCUAAGUCAGAGCACCUGUAACCCGCCGGGCUCCUACUGCCUCUCCCGGUGCCGCAAGGCAUUUGGACGGACAUCGCCUUGGACUUCGUCGAGGCAUUGCCCCGCGUGCGUGGGAAGACGGUGAUCCUGACGGUGGUAGAUCGCUUCAGCAAAUACUGCCAUUUCAUUCCCUUGGCACACCCCUACAGUGCGGAGUCCGUCGCCGAGGCUUUCUUCACCGACAUCAUUCGCCUGCACGGCAUUCCCCAGUCCAUGGUGUCAGACCGCGACCCGGUCUUCACCUCCAUGUUCUGGCGUGAACUCAUGCGCUUGUCGGGCACCAAGCUACAGAUGACGACGGCCUUCCACCCACAGUCGGACGGCCAAUCGGAAGCUGCUAACCGAGUUAUUAUCAUGUACUUGCGCUUUCUCAUAGGUGAUCGCCCUCGACAAAGGCUACGCUGGCUCCCAUGGGCGGAGUUUGUCUUCAACACCGCCUAUGAAUCCUCGCUCCGCGACACCCCCUUUCGCAUGGUGUAUGGUCGGGAUCCCCCGUCGAUUCGGUCCUAUGAGCCCGGUGAGACCAGAGUUGCCGCUGUUGCCAAGAGUCUCGAGGAACGUGAAGAAUUCCUCGCUGACAUCCUACCGCCUAGAACAGGCGCAGGCGAUCCAGAAGCGCUUCUACGACGCCGGCCAUCGUCCAGUGGCCUAUCAAGUGGGCGAUUGGGCCCUUCUUCGACUUCGCCGUGUGCAGCCUCCUCCUUGCAGCAGCAAACGAAGGGCAAGCUUAAGCCACGCUUCUACGGGCCCUAUCAAAUCACGGAGCUCAUCAAUGAGGUCGCCGUCCGCCUCGCCCUGCCUCCCAACGCACGCCUUCACAAUGUUUUUCAUGUAGGCCUGCUCAAAAAGUUCCAGGGUCUGCCUCCAGUAGCACCACCAUCCCUACCGCAGGUGCACCAUGGCACCAUCGCGCCUGAGCCUGAGCGCUACCGUCUGGCCAGAGGCGUUCGUCAGGUGCUGAUCAUGUGGAAAGGAGAGUUCGCGGCCUCGUCCACAUGGGAAGACGUCGACACAUUCUGCGCCAAGUACCCUACUCUCCAGCUUGAGGACGAGCUGAACCUCGACGGGGGGAGAUGUCAUGUGGGGACGUGUCUAUACGCGUCGCACGCGGACACGGGAUGUGCGUCGCGCACGCGAGCGCGCAGAGUGUGGUCCCGGCCGUGAGCCGCGCGGGCCAGGGCGUGAUGGCCUCGGCAGCAGGAGCCAACCGAAAGUUGUUAAAUUUAGGAAGGAUAUUUCUAGUUUCUAUUUACUGUUAUUUGUUACCCCUGUUAGUUGGGGCUACGGCCUUAUAUUCUUGUAACCGUGAACAAUGAGGACUAAGCAAGAUUAUUAUCCUAUCUAUCUCUCUAAACCCUAAGCCUGCGGUAGAGGAGCGUAACCUCACUGGAGAAGACGGCCGACGGCUACGAGCUCCGUAGCCGAGGCCCUGCACGUCGGGGUCUCGACGCCCUUGACACUGCAUCUACGAAGCUCUUGCUAGGCAACCAUACAUGGAGCAAGAAAACAAGCUGCCAACAUCCGGUCCCAUUCAAGGUGGAUAAACAAGGUGUCACCGCUGAGCCCAUGGUAAAAAUGAAAUCACGAUGUCUAGCUUUCACUUACUUUUCAAAUUUAGCUAAGUCUUUUGUAUUUGGAAAUGUUGAACUGGAUCUUUUGACCUGAAUUUCUUCGAUGCAUUAAUAACACUUUGUUUUAACAUUAUAUGUAAUCUGGGAUAUGAUUUUUCUUUACUGAAAUGUUCUAGUUCAAAUAUUUCAAGUUGGAUCUUUUUUGGCCUUUUUCUCUGAUGUUGUUUGAACAGUAUCUAGUCGGUAUUUCAGAACUUCAUGGUCAUUGAUUUCUAAAAAAGGGAUGUUGUGCAUGUUUUUUAUUUGAUAACAAUUUUAUGGUUUAUAUUUAGUACUUUAUCAAAAAAAAAGGACUCAAAAUGGUGUGUUGUUUUAUGUGAUUGCAGAAAAAAAGUGCUUAUAGUAACCAAAGUACAUAAUAAUUACACUAGUUUUCAUUUUUUUUUCUGGCAGUCAAAAUAAAAUGGUAGAAUGGUUUAAAACAAUUCCAAAACUAUGUUAGCUAAAUAAGGCCUGAAAUAAAUGGUGUAAAUCAGUGCUACCCGGUGACACCUAAGACUGGAUUAUGCCGUAAUGAACUUGACAGAGAAAUAAAAAUAUAGAGAAAGGAUAAAAAGUAGGAAUUAAAUGCACGAAACUUCCUGCAUAGCAUCAUUUAGCAGUGCAAAAUAAUGUAUUCCAAGCAUAUAGAUACACAUAUAUUAUCACAUUUUUAGCAGCACAUUAAUUUAUUCCUUCAUCCCUGUUGCUUGUACAACGGGAGAACCUUUUAAAUACUGCCAGAGGCGUAGUGUUUCAACUUCACAGUGCUACUGUCCAGCAAUUCUUAAUCUUGUUGUGUCAACCGGACAAUAGCUUCAAUCGAAGGUAUAAUUACAGGGAUUAAAUUCUAGUAACUAUUAAUUCUCUUUCUAAUUAAGUUAUGAUUAACCUUUUGCAUCUCGAUGUUCCAUCACUGUGGCCAUAUUUGCAUCGUUAUUAUUAACUACAAGGAAGAAUAGAGGCUUAUAAAUGGUUUUUUUUUUUCAAAACGAAGCCACAAAUUAUUGUCUUUGGUAGAGUAUUCAUCGUAAAAAAGAACAAUAUGUAGCUGCAUGCGUUGCAAUAACAACAGUAUAUGAUCUUGGCUUCGAGUCUGACCUACAUGCAUUAAGGAACAGCGCUACAGAAAAUGUUAGACAAUUGACUGAACAGGCGAUCACACAGCCGGAAAUGACAUAUAUGCUACUAGGAUUCAUCUUCUUGCACACAUUAAGUAAGACCCGAACUUUCUUUUUUCAGAUGGAACAUUCUUCCUUACAUGUAGAACAAAAUUCUUCCAAUGAAAUAUUUUUUAAGCCCGAACAUUCUGUUUUCUAAUGCAUUUUUUCUUCUGUUCAGAUAUUUUUCCUUCUUCAUGUAACAAUAUGUUUUCUUCUAAAUUGUUCUACUGUGUUAGUAUAUUUAAAUUUCAUUGCUAUGCUAAUCACUAUGACAACAUUAUUCACUGCAAGUUGAUAAUGUAUAAUCCAUUGUUCAGCUAAACAGCAGUGUUAAGAAUACACAACAGCCAACCAUGAAGGUUUAAUCACCUAUUAAUCCCAUUUAAACCUGUUUAUUUGGUGUUUAGCUUGAAUAAAUAUCUAAUCAUUGGAUGACUAACUGUUUACCAUUUAGUAGUUAUUAGUAGGAGCACAAAUUGUACGCGUAUUUGCUGACCGUAUUCAAGUCUGAUUUUAUUUAGAGGAGUUCAGAUCUAUUUAUAUCAGAAUCUAGAUAUUCAACAUUCUUACUGUAACGUGUCUAUUUGCUCAGAUUGCAUAUUGUGAUGCCAAGAUUCGUUCAUAUCAUAUCCGAUCUAGCAGAUACUGUUCGUAUUCAAAUCAAAUCCGAAUAGAAAUAUGAAAAUAAAUGUAAAUUCCGUCUAUAGCUGAUCCGUUUGCACCCCUUGAAUAUUUUGGUGAAAAUUAUAUUAUUUAUUCGUAUACUUUUCAAUAUCAUGCAAGCCUCUUGAUGUGAUUAUAUUUGAACUACAAAAUUUUACAGCUGAUAGGAUAAGAUUCCACAUCUCGUAGCAUUCUAUAAUAAGAUAUUUUUUCUAUAUGGUAAGGAAAUAUGUAUGAUCUAUGUUGUUUGUUCUAACAUUAUUCAAUGUGCUCAUUGCUGCUCCUUAUUUUUGUUAUCAGGAUAUUAUGGACAACGGAGGGCAGCUGAACAAUAACAGCAAUGAACAAGAUAAUGAUGGCUUCACCAUGGACGAAAUACCCGAUCUUCCAUGGAACAGUCAUAUGGAAUAUGAUGUGGAUGCUUUCCUGGGAGCAGAGGACCAUGUGAACACUAAUCAGACUACUGAUGACGUGGAUCAUAGGAGUCCUGUGGGUGAGACACCAUCCAAGGGUGUGAAACGUUUUGCUAUGCAUCAGAUCCAAGAACUCGAAGCGUAAGACACAACCCACAAUCUUUGAUUAGUUGCACAUUUUUGUUGGAUGAAUGUAUGGUAUCAUCUUUUUCCUAUUUAUUAUGUUUAUGUGCAGUCAGUUCAGAGUUUGUUCCCACCCAAACCCUGACGUGCGCCAGGAACUUGCCACUAAAAUAGGUUUAGAGGAAAGACAGGUGAAGUUCUGGUUCCAAAACCGGCGCUCCCAGAUGAAGGCAAGUUUAGAUCUUACCACCAUUUUAAUCUUACUAUGUCGGCUGUUCUGGCUCUUGUGUCUGUCUCUAGUAAGUUACUGAAUGUAGUGUUGUUACAAAUUUGUUCCAUUAUAUCUAUUGCCAAAUUAUUCACAAAUUGAGGCUAAAUAUUUUCGUAUAUGAUAAACAGUUACAGUUAUAAAUUUAUUAAAUUGACAUACGUAGGUCAAAGCUUAUGGGGAUGACAACAAAGGCAUUCGGCAAGAACUUGCCAAGCUGAAAGCUGAGAACGAGGAACUCAAGCAACGAAGACAGAACCCGAUAUGCUUCAUGUGUACCAACCCUAUAGCGGCAAUUCAGUCAGAGAAUUGGCGCCUGUUAAAUGAUAAUACAAGGCUCAAGGAUGAGUACGUGCGUUCCAAAGCACACAUGGACAGGCUCAUCCGUGAGGCAGCAGCAGAGCAUCCUCCCUCUGCUAUGCGGUCCUCUGAUCAUCAUCUGGCAUCUGCUCACAUGAACAUGGACCCUGUGGCACUCACCGGUAACUGUAGAACAACGACUAACCUGGAGGCUACACUUACCUCGCAUGCUGCGCGUGCCAUGAAAGAGUUUGUGAUGUUAGCAACCAAGGGUGAGCCAAUGUGGGUGCUGGCCAAGGACGGCGAGAAGCUCAAUCACCAGGAGUACAUUUUGCAGACGUUCCCAGGGCUACUUGGGCUCUGCCCACAGGGAUUUGUGGAAGAGGCGACAAGGGAGACAGAUAUGAUCAAAGGCACAGCGAUGGACCUCGUCAGCAUCCUCACGGAUGUGGUAAUAUUGACACACCCACCUAUAUAUCUUCAGCUACAUACAUAAUAUUGUAGUACAUUUUUCAGGUGUACUUGUACAUCAAUUUAGCUAUGCAUUGUAUUGUAUUUUUUUUGCCCUACAGAACCAAUGGUCUCAGAUGUUUCCUAGUAUGGUGGCAUAUGUGAGUUCCAGCAACGUCAUCUCUAGUGGCAGUUUCUCUCUGCACGACGGGUUGAUUCAACUGGUGAUGACCGUGAUCGAUUUCGUCCAUCUAUAUUAUGUUCAUUUUUGUCACAACUGACCGCAUGCCUAUAUGCCCUGUGUGGGCUUAAAUAAUUCCAUGGAAAUUUCGUCCUUUUUGCAGAUGAAUGUAGAGCUAUGGGUGCAAUCGCCGCGCCUGCUGAACCGCAGCGUCAAGUUUCUGAGGUUUAGCAAGAUGAUGGCGAACGGGCGGUGGGCUGUGGUAGAUGUCUCUGUUGAUGGCAUCUAUGGAGUUGAGCAGGAAGGCAGCAGCACCAGUUACACCACCGGCUGCAGGUUGCUCCCCUCUGGCUGCCUCCUUGAGGAUAUGAGCGGUGGCUAUUGCAAGGUACUUUACCACGCACAAUUCACAGUACAAAAACAUUUGGACAACCAUGCAUAGUUGAUGUGUGGUGUGGCAUAAUUAUUACACAAUAGUUGAUGGUACAUAUAUCAUAAUGUUCAAAUUGUUUGUGCAUUUCAGGUCACAUGGGUCGUGCACGCCGAGUACGAUGAGACUACUGUGCCAUUCCUCUUCAGACCUUUAUUACAAUCUGGGCAAGCCCUUGGUGCCUGCCGUUGGCUCAGAUCACUCCAGAAGCAGUGUGAGUACAUUACAGUUUUGCCUUCCAGCCAUGUUCUUCCAAGCAGCAGCAGUAGUUCAGGUAAAUUAAUAGAAACGAUCAAGAUAAUAAACACUAGUUCAUAUAUAUAUGUUCAUAUACAUGGAAACAUAAUUAACUAUUUAUAAGAAACAAUAGCUAUAUCGACACUGGGCGUGGGGAGAAGGAGCGUCAUGGAGCUGGCCGGCCAAAUGAUGGUGAGCUUCUACGCAGCUGUCUCUGGGCCGGUCAUCGUCCCGGCUACUAGCAGCGUGAACGAGUGGCGCCUCGUCAGCAAUGGCAACGGCACCGAGAGGGUUGAAGCAUUUGUGCGCCUGGUGACAUGGAACUGCGCUGACAUCAUGCCAGGAGAGCCAUCCGUCACGGUUUUGAGUGCCACCACUACCGUCUGGCUGCCUGGCACGCCGCCACUCUGUGUCUUCGAGUAUCUCUGUGAUUUGCAGCGCCGUGGUGAGUGGGAUACCCAUGUCGAUGCUGGUGAGGUGAAGGAAUUAAGCUCCGUCGCCACGUCUCCACAACUCCCUGGCAAUAAUGUCGUCUCCGUCCUCGAACCCACUACUGUGAGUCUUCACGCACGCCUCUUGCUAUUUCUGUAUAUUUCCUACGCUUGCAGUCAUCAGUCCUGCAGUCUAGCUUACUAUUGCUUUUCGCUUCCAUUGUAUUGUAGGUGGUUACUGAUGAAACGGAGAGCAGCAAAGUGUUGAUCCUGCAAGAGACGAGCACCGACGUCUCAUGCUUUCUGGUGGUGUACAGCCUUAUUGAGGAAAGCUUGAUGCGUGGCAUCAUGGAUGGCCGUGAAAGGAGCAACAUUUUCGUCCUUCCAUCUGGGUUUGCCAUCCUCCCAGACGGGCAUGGGAAGGCUCACGCUGACCACACUGCUGCCAAUAGCUCCAAUAGCGCUCCCAUCGACAGCCGCAACAACAAUGCAGGGUCAAUUGUUUCAGUCGCAUUUCAAACGCUGUUGCCAGGCAACCUAUCCAGCAACCUUGACAACACCGGGGCCUUUGAAGAUGCAAGACUCCAGGUCUGCCAUGCCAUAACGAAGAUCAAGGCUGCCGUCGGUGCUAGUAACAUAAUCCCAGCCUAAAGCCCCGCUUUAGUUAUAGGUCUGUCGACGAUUCACCAGGCUCGUUGUCGAUUUGAUAGUGGCCCAGAGAAUCAAAAUUAGACUCGAAUAGAUUUUUUUUUUCAUACUAUAUAUAGCACAUAGAGUGGUCAUUAUGCAAUGGUAAGGAGUCAAGUAGUACUAUAACAAAUGGACCGUGCUCUAAGUUUUGCGCUGGGCAUAAUGCAUUCGCUUAGUUUUUGACUGACCAACCAGUCAACAAUAACACUUUAGUUUUUAGACAUCUAUUCGUUUCUCUGAAAUUUAACUUAUGCAUAUGCUGAUGCUGAAAUGUUGCGAGAAGAAAACAUUAUUCAUUAGCUAAAAAAGUGCUGCUAACAUAGUGCUGCAAAACACGGCGUUGUGGCAGUUCAAUUAAUUUUCAUAAACCAACGCUCAAUUUAAAUUUUGUUCUUUCAAAAAGACUAGGGCCUUGUUUAGUUCACUCAAAAAACCAAAAACUUUUCAAAAUUUUCCGUCACAUCGAAUCUCGUGGCACAUACAUGGAGUAUUAAAUAUAGAUGAAACAAAAAAUAAUCGCACAGUUUGCCAGUAAAUCGCGAGACGAAUCUUUUAAAACUAGUUACUCUAUGAUUGGACAAUAUUUGUCAAAUAAAAACGAAAGUGCUACGGUGUCAAAAUCCAAAAACAUUUUGGAUCCAAACAAGGCCUAGCUAUAUAUGUUCAUAAUUGUCCUCUUUCUCAGUCAGCGGAUGAUAUUGUUUAGUUUUCGAAAAACGUACCUCUAGUAUCUUACAAACAGCUUAAAACCACUAAUACUACUAGUGAAGCUCGCAUCAUUGAUUGUCUAUAAGAAAUGUGGGCACCGCCCAGCCACCUCUGCUUUUCCAUUUAGACAGUUUUCAGGUCGCCUCUACAUUUUGUUUUCCAGAAAUCAUAUAUUUGGGCCAAAAAAUAGUAAAAAAUGCACGUAUCAUUCCUCUAACCACUCCACCACAAAGACAUUUAUUUCAAUAGGGCAUAUUCGUACUCUUUACGUUAUCUUUAUCUGAUUUUGAAAUAAUAUUUGAGACCAUAAAUAAACUCAAAGAAAAUGUUUUUAACUGCAAUAUUAUCGAUACCUGUGCGGAUCUAAAAGUUUGGUUUUGAUCCUUACUCCAUUCGAGGUCAUUUCAAAAUUUUGAAAAUCAAAUGUCACAAACUCAAAUAUAAUUUUCCUUGGAUAGAUUAUUUCAAAUGAGAAGUUGUCAACUCUAAAGUUGUAAAAGUCUUCAAGACCUAUAAUAAUAGUUUUAGUUGUUUUUCAAUCUGAGAUUGUUUGAAAAUUUUAAAUUUUAUUGUGUUGCAUGUGAUUCUAGAGACGGCUCUAUAUAUCUAGCCUCUUCUACAAACUUUAGAGGCAGCUUGAGAUCCAGCCACCUUAUCAUGAGAUGCCUCUAAAAAUAGGGAUAUCUGUAGACAUGGCUGAAAAAUAGCAGCCGGCUCUAGGUACUGAUGGAAAUCUAAGUAACAUGUCAAAAUUCGUUUGGAGUUAACAGGAAUCGUUGAAACAGGUGGGCAUUUAGAAUUUGUGAUGGUAUUGCAUUACUGUCUUUUUGGGUUGUUGAACCAUGUAACAUGUCGGAUUCCAUUAGGACGGAUUCCAUUAGGAUGAGUGGUCCUCGGUCACCGGCCGUGCAACUAUAUAUUCAGUGACCAUAAAAGUUAGGGUUUGGGCUUAAUCAUAUAUCAACAAUAUUUUAGAUUGUGGAUUUUCUUGUUCUUAGUUGUAUUAUUAAUUCAUAGGGAGGAAUUAGCCUAUGUCGUGAGGUCAACCAGGUAGUGCAUAGUUGAUAACUAGAGUACAUAUGGUGUUGUGAUUGCAGGGUUUAGGUAUUUGUGAUUGGAAGGCGGAUUAUACGAGCCAAGUUUUGUCACAACCUAUUUUUUUUAAUUUUGGGCUGUGCGUAGAAAACAUUAACGAAAAUAAAUAAUUUGAUAUUUGGAUAAAAUUUUCUAAGCUUAAUUUUAUAUAGUGUCAAAUAGUUAUAUAAAGAAUAUGAAUCUUCAAACUUUUCUGAAUUAAUUUGACGGAAUUUUGGUUGAUGAGAUGGGUCUUCUUUAUCUGGCAAGUCUUUAUCUUUUUUUUAUGAUCAAAUUCAUUGUUUCUCCACUCAAGUUUUCACUGGGAGCUUCUGAAAAUCUUUUCUUUCUACAAAUCACUCAUUUGAGUAUAUUAUCUAUGAAUAUGUAUACACAGUCUUCUCCGGAUUUUUUUUAGAAUUCGAGGGCUAUUGCCACGGCUUUUCAAUUAACAUCGAAAAACCAAAGUCUUUUACAGCGCAGUUUCAGAAGCCAAAACUCCACCAGGACCGAAAAGUUCAAAGCUCAACAUUAGAGCUGAGGACAACCGAAGCAUAAAAACUAGAUACAACCAUCCCAAGACGAACAGUUAAAGAACCUACAACCCAAGAGCUGUGUUGGUGCAAAAGUGGAUCUGCAAACACAAAGGGCUAAUACCCGUUUCAGUGUUAAGGCGUGCCAGCCGAUUUAACCUUACAAUCGACAAAGGUGAUAACUCGAACACUUUGGUCCCGACAACAGCGAUGUGCCCGGAUGUCACGGCCAAGAGGUAUUCACGCGGAACUUGAGAACUCGCCGAGAUUGACUUGAUGAAUUCCUAAGAACUCGUAAGUAAAAAGAAAAUAUGCAGGGUGACGAAGUCGUCGAAAAAGUAUAUGCUGGAAUAGAUGUAAAAACUUGUGUUUGAUUGAUUGUGUAUCUCUUACAUCUCUACGGGGUCUUAUAUUUAUACCCUGCCCAAAAGGGUUACAAUCAGACACGACUAGGACUCGAAUUCCAAAUUGAACGGAAUCCGUUAUGGAAAACAAACUCUAACAACUAUGGAAAACAUUAACUUAUCCACCACAACCGAUCGGCACAUCAUCAUCACCCGAUCGAUGAUUCCUGCGCCUCUUUUUGUAUCUGUUGGCAAAUCACCUUCCAUAGCCAUCGGCAACCACCAACACUAGUCAUCAGCAUAAAUCCAUCACUACCCUUGGACUUGGCCAUUGUUGGGCAUUCUUAACGUCACUACCAAAAGUAGACUAAGUUUUCUAAUUCUGAUAACGGCGCCAAAAAUGCCAAACCUAUCCCUCAUACCACUUAAGCCAAGUUGUCAUCCCCAGCAUGACAUAAGAGACGCGGUAUUGAAAUAUGCAAUUGCACUUCUAAAUAAAUAACAAAUGGGAUCUGCAAGCGCCUAGAUUAAUACCGAUGUAGCAUUUUAACCGGGAAGUAUUCCAGGUAUCGUUAUUUAUAUUUUUACCACUGGGAAAGGAUUAGUAAUCAUCAAAGUUGAUUAUAGAAUGGAAUAUAGAAUUGAGUAUCUAUCAUUGCAUAUAUAAUUGAGAGCAUUUAUCUAUCUCUAACAUACAGGGAUAAAUGUCACAUAAAAGAUAUAUAAAGUAUGAAUGGUGACAAAGAUAAUUAAUCAGAUCAGCAUAACUUAGCCACAUAUAAAUAUGAUAAGCACCUCAAUUAGAUAUUCUAACAAGUCAUUAGCAUAGAAUUAGGACGAACUACAAGAAUAUUUCCUAUGUUAUUCUCAACUAUACAGUCUAGCAUAUCAUAGUUAGUGCAAUUAUACUUAGCAAUCAUUGUGAGACACGACUACGCCCAUGCAUAGUGAUAUUAUCAAGGAAAAUAAGAAACAUCGCAAUCACUCCCCUGUAAUAAUGUUGCUCUGCCAGCCCAAUACACGAGAGGGGGACUAUAUAAGAAUCAAUGGAGCUGUCACUACCACGAACUACCCCACAAUCUGGCAUAUAGGGUACAAUCGCAGAUAAAUACAGUAUAAGCACCACGCCAACACAAUAUUUAUCAUUUACCAAUGGAUCCGAUGGAUAAACGCUAUACAAUCCUAAACAUGUAUAUAAUUCCAAUCUAACUAAGCCAAGUAUAUAACUAUGAUAAACUAAGAACAAUAUAAUUGCGAAUAUAAAUAAGUAGAGCAAAGUCAUAAUCAUUAUAUUGAAGUAGAACAAAGUCAUAUUCAUAAUAUCCAAGAACAAAGAUGAACAAUUUAAGAACAAUAGAGAAUUGCCAAGAAUCCUCUUGACAGAUCCGGAAACCAAUCGAAGAUUGACUCCUUCUAGUUCUAAUCCUAUGUAGCUAAGCUAAUCUAGAGAUCUAAUUGAUGUGGUGGCUCUAGGGCUUGAGCAGAGGCUUCUUCUCCCUGAUGAAUAAUGAAUUAGGGUUGAGAGGUGCUCUCCUCCCGGGCCCAGGGGGUCUGGUUAUAUAGUCCUUCCAAGUGAAUAUGGGCCGUCGGAUCAAACCAACAUCGAUUGAACGGUUAUCCUUGAUCCUUUAGGUCGGUGGAGCAUGAUCCCCGAAGAGGACUCUGAUUGGGCACCAAAGGGGGGCGGGCGCCCCGGUCUCUAGGGCGGGCGCCCUGGGCUAGGCCCCGUUCUGCCUCCGCUUCGUUCCCGUGGCUUCUGGAGUCUUCUAGAUGUAAGAUAAUUGCACCGCACGUUAAUAUCUCUAUGUAAACCUGACGUGUGGCCCUUUCUUCCGUAUUUCCUGAUAACCCCCUGCAGAAAUAGACAAACACCAAAACUCGUGGAAUUCUGUCAGAUAAAACCCUAAGUCUGGAUGUUGAUUUCAUUUGGAUCCUUUUCUUUGUUUAUUUGAUAAUUAAAUUUGAUAAUUAAGGACCGUCAACAAACUCCCCCAAGCUUACCUCUUGCUCGUCCCUGAGCAAAGAUAAUCUCUGUGAUGGAUCAGAAGUUGCUGAAAUACCUUUUAAAAAUUGACGGUACACAUGCUUCUAAAUGAGGUCUCAUCUCUGAGUUAGAGUAAACUAUCAAGACUUAAAACUUACUUACUUUACCUUUCACCAUGGGACUUGUAACCGUCACUUCUGUCUUGAGCAGUUAAAAGAUAGAACGGUCUAGUCAAGCGCCAUGUCUCUUAUUCUUGAUCAGCUAUAGCUCUGGAGUUUUUGCAGACUUUCAAAUAAAACUCAGAGAUUCCUUGUAUGACUCUCUCAGAUCUCUCUUUUGUGGUAUUUCUGGAUCCUUAUCAAGGCAGUAAUGGUAUAUGCCUUCUCUCAAAAUAUGUGAUAUUUGUGGUAUAAGGCAUAGUGACAUUGCCUUCUCUCUCACCCUACUCUAAUAAGGCUUUUGAUAUCUGGAGCUCAUAGGUGGGAGAUAAAGUAUAAAUACCUACAAGACAUUUAUUACAUAGUCAAACCAUGGAUCCAAAGAAACAAGUCAAAUAAGUCAAAUCAAGAUGUGCAUGUGUGGCGAAUGAAUGGUGUAUGAUGAUGAUGGUGAUAACAAUGGUGAAAGUCUAAUUCUACUUUUGCUCUUUUGAGGGGAUACAUACCUACCUUGCUCUUUGAAACUUUUUGAGGAGAAUAAGAUGCUCUAUAUUUUCUUAUUCUUUCCUCUCAGGUGGGUAUCUUGUACCCCUAAUUCUACUGUCGGACACUUGUCCAUUUUUACCUCUCGUCUCACUUUUUCUCUUUUUUCGAGGUUCCGCGCACUUGCCCCUUUUUAUUUUCUCGUAUCCUUUUUUUAGAGCACUCAUCUCCUGAAAUAAUAUAGCAAGUGGUAGUAACCAAAAUAACAUGAGCAUUUAUUUCACAGGGGAAUACAAAAAUGUUUUUGGCUAUUCUCUCCCGGAUUAGGAGUAGAAUAUUUUUGGGUAGUUCUGGAGAUGGAAAUGGGUGGAUAUAUGUGGAUGCAUACUUCCGGAGUAGAAGCAGCAUGUGUGAGUGAACCUGCAAGCGAAUCUUGAUUUAACCACAUGACAAGCUCCUAAGGGUCUACACAGCUUGACCACACUCAAUGCUCAUAAGCAGUAAAAAAGUAUAUGUGUGGCUCAAAGUCUAGCAAGCAUGUAUAUAUGGCUGUGGUAAGAAUUUAAACUCUCAUCAUACAGGAACUCAUAAUGCAACAUUUUGAAGAUUUUCAAAGAUAAAAUUCUCCAGAAUUCUAGCAUCUCUAGGAACAGAUAAACAGUAGCUCAACCUUCCCAUAUCAUAUCCGUUAACAACUUAGACUUCAGAUCAAGUACUCUUCCCACAAGUUCAGGUUUAGAGCAAAUCUUAAUUAAUAAUAGUCAUGCCUAAACUUGAGAGAGAUUUCAAUUUUGAGAACUAGUCAUGGCAGAGCAACUAUUCAUCAUUUCCAUGUGAGAGCUUAUCAUGAGGGUUCAUAGCAAACUUUAUUUAUUUAUUUAUUUAGCAAACUAAGUAAAGAUAUAUAUAUAAGCACAAAAUCCUUAUUUGGGUUUUUAUGAUUAUACAUCUUUUUAUUAUUAGAGUAAAGUAUAAACGUGAGUAGAACACUUAGGUGGAUAAAUUAGGGUGCUCUCCCCAAAGCUGGAUUUUGACGCAAUUUCUUCUGAUGUAGCUAGCAGGUGGCGGAGGUGUAUUUGAAUGUCGGCAGCACUCUGACAACGGUUAGGAUGUCCUCCGUCUGCUAGUCUUCUUUGAUCCUUGAAUUCUAUGGAGCUCAAAUAGACAACAAAGCUUUGUGGAACUAGUUAAGUGUUAGCAUAAAUAUCUAGCCUUUAUCAUGUUGAGCCUCCUCAAUAAAUGUUACUCUCUUUAGUAGGAUCAUAAAUUUAUUUUUAUAUUUUCAUUUUAUAGGACAGGAAUAUAUUUAUUUUAUUUUUACGCCACCAUAGUGAAUGAACUUAUGGGUUUUAUGCCAUGAGCAUACUCACAUGGGGCUUACUAUUUUUAACAUUUUUAUUUUCUUUUCAAGAUGAUAUGAACCUGAUUAACUAAGCAAACUAUUUUAAAUAAUUAAAAGAAAAAAAGAUAACUACCAAGUUUACCUCUUGGCAAGGCGUUUGGUGUUUUUAACUCCUCCAAACGGGACUCUCCGUUUUCUCAGUCGUCCUGGGAUUCGUUGGAUGGCGUAGUCGGUGGAUCCGGCGGCGCCUGCUCUUCAUGUAUAAUUAUGUUCUCUCUCCACACCUGACUCGGUGCUAUGGUCUCCUCAGGACAGUUCUGUUCAUGUAUGUCUUCAUACCUUCCUACUUCUUAUUGGGUAUUCUUAACGUCAUUACCAAAAGUAGACUUAGUUUUCUAAUUUUGAUAACAGUGCCAAAAAUGCCAAACCUAUCCCUCAUACCACUUAAGCCAAGUUGUCAUCCCCAGCAUGAUAUGAAAGACGCGGUAUUGAAAUAUGCAAUUGCUCAUCUAAAUAAAUAAUGAAUGCGAUCUGCAAGCGCACAGAUUAAUACCGAUGUAGCAUUUUCACCGGGAAGUAUUCUAGAUAUCGUUAUUUAUAUUUUUACCACUGGGAAGGGAUUAGCAAUCAUCAAUAUUGAUUAUAGAAUGGAAUAUGAGAUUGAGUAUCUAUCAUUGCAUGUAUAAUUGAGAACAUUUGUCUAACUCUUCCAUACAGGGAUAAGUGUCACAUAAAGGAUAUAAAGUAAUGAAUAGUGACAAAGAUAAUUAAUCUGAUCAGCAUAACUUAACCACAUAAUAAAUGUGAUAAGCACCUCAAUUAGAUAUUCUAGCAAGUCAUUAGCAUGGAAUUAGAACGAACUACAAGAAUAUUUCCUAAGUUAUUCUCAACUAUAUAGUCUAGCAUAUCAUAGUUAGUGCAAGCAUACUUAGCAAUCAUUGCGAGAAAAGACUACGCCCAUGCAUAGUGAUAUUAGCAAGGAAAAUGAGAAACAUCGUAAUCACUCCCCUGUAAUAAUGUUGCUCUGCCAGCCCAAUACACGAGAGGGGGACUAUAUAAGAAUCAAUGAAGCUGUCACUAUCACGAACUACCCCGCGAUCUGGCAUAUUGGGUACAAUCGCAGAUAAAUACGGUAUAAGCACCACGCCUACACAAUAUCUAUCAUUUACCCAUGGAUCCGAUGGAUAAACGCUAUAUGAUCCUAAACAUGUAUAUAAAUCCAAUCUAACUAAGCCAAGUAUAUAACUAUGAUAGACUAAGAACAAUAUAAUCUUGAAUAUAAACAAGUAGAGCAAAGUCAUAAGCAAUAUAUUGUAGUAGAACAAAGUCAUAUUCAUAAUAUUGAAGAACAAAGAUGAACAAUUAGAAGAGCAAUAGAGAAUUACCACGAAUCCUCUUGACAGAUCCGGAAACCAAUCGAAGAUUGACUCCUUCUAGUUCUAAUCCUAUGUAGCUAUGCUAAUCUAGAUGUUAAAUUGAUGUGGUGGCUCUAGGCUUGAUCAGAGGCUUCUUCUCCCUUGAUGAAUAAUGAAUUAGGGUUGAGAGGCUCUCUCCUCCAAGGGCCAGGGGUCUGGUUUUAUAGUCCCUCCAAGUGAAUAUGGGCCGUUGGAUCAAACCGACAUUGAUUGAACGGUUAUCCUUGAUCCUUUAGGUCGGUGGAGCUUAAUCCCAAAAGAGAGUUCUGAUUGGACUCUACAGGGGGGCGGGCGCCCAGGGCCAGGCCCCGUUUUGCCUCCGCUUCGUUCCCGUGGCUUCUGGAGUCUUCUAGAUGUAAGAUAAUUGCGCAGCACGUUAAUAUCUCUAUGUAAUCCCGACUUGUGGGCCUUUCUUCCGUAUUUCCUGAUAACCCCCUGUAGAAAUAGACAAACACCAAAACUCGUGUAAUUCUGUUAGAUAAAACCCUAAGUCUGGAUGUUAAUUUCAUUUGGAUCCUUUUCUUUGUUUAUUUGAUAAUUAAAUUUGAUACUUAAGGACUGUCAACAAACUCCCCCAAGCUUACCUCUUGCUCGUCCCUAUGCAAGGAUAAUCUCAGCGAUGGAUCAUAAGUUGUUGCAAUAUCUUUAAAAAUUGACGGUACACAUGCUUUUAAAUAAGGUGUCAUCUCUGAGUUAGAGUAAACUGUCAAGACUUAAAACUUACUUACUUUACCUUUCACCAUGGGACUUGUAACCGUCUCUUCUGUCUUGAGUAGUUAAAAGAUAGAACGGUCUAGUCAAGUGCCAUGUUUCUUAUUCUUGAUCAGCUAUAGCUCUGGAGUUUUUGCAGAUUUUCAAAUAAAACUCAGAGAUUCCUUGUAUGACUCUCUCAUAUCUCUCUUUUGUGGUAUUUCCGGAUCCUUACCAAGGCAGUGAUGGUAUAUGCCUUCUCUUAAAAAGUAUGUGGUAUUUGUGGUAUAAGGCAUAGUGACAUUGCCUUCUCUCUCACCCUACUCUAAUAAGGAUUUUAAUAUCUGGAGCUCAUAGGUGGGAGAUAAAGUAUACAUACUCACAAGACAUUUAUUGUAUAGUCAAACCAUGGAUCCAAAGAAACAAAUCAAUAAGUCAAAUCAAGAUGUGCAUGUGUGGCGAAUGAAUGGUAUGUGGUGAUGAUGGUGAUAACAAUGGUGAAAGUCUAAAUCUUUUGCUCUUUGAGAGGAUACAUACCUUCCUCGCUUUUUGAAACUUUGUGAGGAGAAUGAGAUGCUCUAUAUUUUCUUUUUUCUUUCCUCUCAGGUGGGUAUCUUGUACCCCUAAUUCUACUGUCGGACACUUGUCCAUUUUUACCUCUCGUCUCACUUUUUCUUUUCUUUUGAGGUUCCGGGCACUUGCCCCUUUUUAUUUCCUCGUAUCUUUUUUUUAAAAGAGCACUCAUCUCUUGAAAUAUAGCAAGUGGUAGUAACAAGAUAACUCGAGCAUUUAUUUCAUAGGGGAAAAACAGAAAUAUUUUUGGCCAUUCUCUCCCGGAUUAGGAGUAGAAUGUUUUUGGGUGGUUCUAGAGAUGGAAAUGAGUAGAUAUAUGUGGAUGGUACUUCCGGAGUAGAAGUAGCAUCUGUGAGUGAACGUGCAAGUGAAUCUUGAUUUGACCACAUGACAAGCUCCUAAGGGUCUACACAGCUUGACCACACUCAAUGCUCAUAAGCAGUAAAAAGUAAAUGUGUGGCUCAAAGUCUAGCAAGCAUGUAUAUAUGGCUGUGGUAGGAAUUUA
rnacentral:lncRNA from 1 species